CGAACCAACAACUUGGACACCUGAGCCAAAUCUGUAGGUCAGAGCAUACUUGGAAGGUGGCCACUUUUGUGCCCCGAAAGCAUAAUGAGCAACCACGUGGACCUUCUUGUGUUUUGAUUUAGUGCUGUUCGGUUUUGCGGACGGAGUGUUUAUGAUAUCAGGCAUUCCACAUCGUGGAAUCAUCAUUUGUUGUAUGGUACUAGAGUCAAGGUUACCAGUAACAUUCAGGUGAAAAUAUUCUUGAUAUGUUUUGAGUGCUAGCUCCAAGUGGUCAUCAAAAUCACUGCUUGUGAGAGUGAUAUCACUUGGGUAGUACCCAAACUUUUUGAGGUAUUGUUUGAGCUCAAUAAGCCCUUCCACAGUUUGGCCCUUUUGAAUCCCCUCCAGCCCUUGAAGGAAGCUGCUAAAAGAUUGCCGAUGCUCGGGUUUCAAAGUUCUUGCCUGACCUCUGAAGGACUGGAUAGAAAAGAUAACGAGGAUUGCUGAUAAAAGAUGGGAAAGUUUAGGAGCCAUAUCGUGUGUUGUUUCGGAGAAUGGCUUCAGACGUGGGUUGUGGCUUUCAAUUCUAGUAUCGGAUGGCUAUUUAUAGACAUAUAGUAUGUUGUAUUGGCAUUAGGACCAUAGUUAUAAAACCCGACCCGGUAGUUGACCCGGUAAAAUGACUGGGUCACGGGUCUUGGGGGUCAACCCGGGUUAACCCGGGUCAACCCAGGUCAAUAACAAAAGGAACACAUUAAUAUGGUUCUUUUGACAUAAAAUAUCACAUUAACAUAUAUGUUAGCAUAAUUAAUAAGAAAAUAUCACAUUAACAUAUAUACUAGCAUAAUUAAUUAGCAUCAAGGUGCAUUUAUCUUCAAAUAAAUAAAUAUUUAACAUAAUUUAAAGAUAUUAAAGAUAUGGAUAAUAAAAUAACAAGUUGUUCUAGAGACACAAAAUUUAACAUAAUAGAUAUAAGGGGACAAUAUUCAAACUCUAGUUUGCAUUAGAAUCUAUAAAUCAACAUUUUAACCCCAUUUUACAUUAGAAUCCAUAAAUCAACAUCUUCAGCUGCAUAAAAAAACAAAAGAUGAGUAAAAACCCAAGAGAGCAGCUACUGGCCUCAUCUGUGCCUUCUAGGAUCCGCUAGUAAAAAUGUCCAACAGAUAUCAAGUUCUAUAACAGUGUUUGAAAUUUGAACGUGAAACUUAUCAUAAAAAAUUCAAAUUUUAAUCACGGGAGCAUCCCGUGUAAACAAUAUUCUCUUUGUUUUUUUCCCCUUACAGCUAUGCUUUUUUCAUGCUUUUUAAUUUUUUUCCCCUUAUAGGACGAGCAAUCAAAUAAACCAAGAUGAGAAAUUAAGGAAACUGGGACUAUGAUAGACUGGGAAUGUAGAGAGAAGAAAUCACUAUGUUGUAUUCAACAUCAUGCCCAUUAUUGUUGCAUCAUGAAUCAGCUUCUUACUCAGUAUUAAUUCAAAUAAGAAAAUUAAAAAACUUGCAAUAUGGAACUCAUAGAAGCAAUGAGAAUAACUGCUCAUCAUCAUAAUAAUUUGAUAUUCAUCUUGCCAAAAAGCAUACAGGCAAUUUCAAUUCGGCAGAGUAAUGAUUGAUUCAUGGUACAGAGUAAUGACAGACAUGUAUGGCAGUAAUUGGUUUAAAUGAAUGUGCACAAAUUGGAUUAUUCCAGAUUAUAAUGUAAAAACAUCAUCAGAUAAAAGACUUGUAAAAAUAUUAAUUAUUCUAGAUUAUCAUACAGAGCACAAACCAAGAGGAGCAUGUUUUUUAUAAUGUAUAUUCAUUAAUAAAUUAUUAUGAAACUGUCCUGAGAAUGUUUGUUAUGAGAAAGUUAAAAAAAAAAAACAUGAAUUUAACAAAUAAUAAAUCAAUGACAGAAAGGGAAGUGAAAUGGGAGAUCCAAAAGGGGCUAGAAGAUUCAAAGACAAAAACCCAAAUGUGUAAAGCAAGUAGCAGAGCUGCAGAUGCGAAAAUCCAGAUGCGAAAAUCAUAAAAGCAAAUAAUUUGACUUGGACACAAUAUCAACGUAAAAGAGAUAGAGCACCUGUAGAUUUCUCCAAUGAACUCUCUGUUGAUUGUUGUCUAUUCUGCAGGAGAUACCGACAGAAGUAAAUCUCUUGGUUGUUGUCUAUUCUGCAAGAAAUUAGGGCAAAAACUCUAGCUUUCCUUUUGCUUUCCCUGAGUCAGUGAUCGUUCAAUAAAGUUAAUAUAUACACCGGUCUCACCCGGGUUAGCCUGGGUCGAACGGGUCACGGGUCGACCCACCGGGUCGACCGGGUUUGACCGGUUUUUUUCUUAGGCCGGUCUUUUGUCUUACCCGGAUCGGUCCAGGUCCCGGGUCGGCCAGGUCCCAGGUCGACCCGCCGGGCCGGUCCGAGUUUUAUAACACUGAUUAGGACUACAGAAUAUGUCUUGAGAUUUACUACUGUCCUUAUUUUUGUUAAUUCUAAUUGCUUAUUUUCAAAUAUUAAUUAUUUAGACUACAUUUGUCCUUCGAGCAUCUAAUUUAUUUAUUUUCUUUCAUAGUAAUCGAUGAAAUUACUAUCUAAAUAUUUGAGUUUAACUUUCAUUUAUAUGGUUAUUAUUAGAUAUCAUUAUCCAACAAAAUCAACAACCCUGAGGGGUAGCUUAACUAGUCAGGUCAUGAGUUUGCUCCUAAUGGUCACGGGUUCGAGUCCCCUCAGGGCCACUGGAGGCUUACAUGAUCAUUAACUUUAGGGCCCGUGGGAUUAGUCGAGGUACACGCAAGCUAACCCGAACAUUUAUGUUAAUAAAAAAAAAAGAAAGUACAUCUCUCUUCCGUGUCUCAUAAAUUUAAAUUAUUAAAUGACUAAUCCUAAAUUGAAUCAAAGUUUUAUUUAUCAUUUCAAUAAUUUUUUUUGUCAUUGUUAGUCUUGAAUGAUUAAAUAUAGUAUAUUAUUUUAAUAUAUCUUUUUUUUUAAUUCAUUUAAAUAAUGCUGCUGAGAAGGAGCACUCAAAAUAGAUGAUUAUGGGUUUCCAUAUGUAAACCAUACAAGAUACAUAUCACAAAGGUGAUGAUCUGAAAAGUCUGCAGUCUGCUCAUAGUGUGUAGACGACCCAAAAAGACAAGCCAUAAGAUGAAGGAGUGUCGUGGGACAUAUUUUGAAAACUAGAGAAGAUGGUGCAUAGUAUUCUUGGGCCUGGUAUCUCGAAGUGCCUCCCAAGCUGAAUCAAUAGUGAACCUCUUCAAAGAAUGACCUCUCCAAACAUAGUGAUCUGAAGAGUUAAUUGGGCAUGGAAUCUAAUGCAGUCCCAAAUUUGUUAGAGGUCCUAACUAUCUAAAGGAAAGUCCCAACCACCAUCCUUAAUAAUGUAUGCAUCCUUUGCAUCCCAAGAUAAUCCAGUAGAUGAUAAAGUCUUGAAAGGCAAAAAGUCACAAAAACAUUGUCCAUAUGACAAAUAAUAAUCUAGCCAUAGAGAAGUUAGAGAGCCAUCACCAAUGCAAGAUACAAACAUACCUCUACACCAAUCUUGACUAUGAAAAAUCUUUCGCCAUAACCAAAAAGAUACCAAAGGUAGCCUAUAAAAAAUGAUCUCCCUCUGAGCAAUACAGAAUGCACCUAAGCUAACCAAACUGAGGAUCUGUUUGAAAGUAGCCUCCAAAUAUGCUUGAGAAUAGCUGCUCUAUUUCAAGUCUUAACCCUUUUAAUCCCAAGUCCACCCUCCUGCAGAGGAUAGAAAACUAAAGCCCAAGCCGCUUUUACCCCUAAAAGGGAAGUAGAUGAACUGUUCUAGAGAAAGGCAAUUAACAUGCCCUCAAUCUCCUAAUAAUAGAACAAGAAAGGAUAAACAUAGUAGACCAAUAUUCCUGGGAUGGAAAAGAGAACAUAUUUGAUCAGUUGCAAACGACCAACAUAUGUAAGAGAUGUCGAGGUCUAUAACCUGAUCUUCGAGAGAAUCCGCUCAACCAAAGCCAUGCAGUCACUAUGUUUUAACUGGGUAGUAAUAAAAGGAACCCCCAAGUAUCUGAUCGGCAAGGAGCCCAACCUGAAACCUAAGAGAUCCAAACGAGAUGCUUUCAAAUCAUCAUCUAUACUUGAUAUGAAAACAUGGCUCUUCUUUAGGUUGUUCAUCAGCCUUGAUAACACAACAAAGUCAUCCAGAGCCCUCCUCACAACACCCACUGAAUCUGUGUUUGCCUAACAGAAUAUCAUAAGGUCAUCAACAAAGCAUAAAUGAGUAAUACUCUCGUGUUGACACCUCAAGUGAUAGUGGUAUCUCUAGUUCUGGGUAGCCUUUCUAAGAAUACCACCAAGACUUUCAUAGCCAGCACAAAGAAAGUCAACUACGCGUUCGCUUUGGUUGCGAGACAGCUUGAGGGCAUACAACAUGUGCCAAAGAUGACUAAACUAUCACAAUUCUCUAGGUUAUUCAAAGACAAAUCCACUUUAAAAGUCAAUGAAAACAUCAAACAAGAUUGGAAGCUUCUGGUAUUGAUAAAAAAAUAAAUUAGAUGGUUUGAGAGAUCCAGUCACUAGUGAAAAAUACCCGAGGUGGAUAAAUCUAUCAUUGGUGACUUUCUUCACGAAUCUCGAAUUCAAAAUGGAAACUUCACAAGCUGCUGAACUAAAUAAGAGAGAAAAAAAUUAACAAUGAGGACGAGCUGAGAGAACAACUGGAAAAGCUCUAGGUAGAAUUGGGCACCAAUAAAGCCCUCAGGAUCUCCCUCGAGGAAUAACUCUUCACUGAAGAGAAACUGAGGAAGUUUGUCGAGUAACAAUUGAUAGAAAAAGACAAAAUAGUCAUGUCUUUAGAGAAGCAGCUGAGAGAGGGAAAAGUGGCUAGCAACCGAGUUGAGAAAGAGCGAGGAGAAUUGGGAAAAAGUUGGAUGCAAAACAACACCGAAUUUAAGACAUUGAAAGCCAAUUUCAAUGAUUGCCAAGAAAGAGCUGAUAUGUCUUCAAGGGUCCAAACAGAAUUAGAAAGCCGGAUUGAACAAUAUGAGCAGUUAUACAAAGAACAUGUGAUGCUUGAAAGUGAGUUGGCUGAAGAAAAAGCCAAAGAAAAAGUUGUUGGGAAUUCCAAGAUUGAUAAGAUCAACUUGUUAAAAAGAGCUUGAUAACGAAAAAUCAGGGCAAAACAUUUAGAGGAGAAAAAUAGGUUGUUGGAGCACCAUAAUCAGAUGAUUGAUACCAAGAAUAAUCAACUGGAUAGGAGCAACAUGUUGCUCUUAGAAAAGAUGAGUAACAUGGAUGAGCAUAUUGAUUGAGCUUUUAUCCAUGCUCGAAGAAUUCAUCUCAAUGCUCAACAAGUUGGGAGAGUUCUUCACUGAUAUCAACCAAGUAUAGUUGAAAAUGGUGCUUUUCUUAGGAAUAUAGGAAACAAAAGCUUUGUUUUCCCCCUGUAGAUGAUGAUGAAUGAACUGAUCCUCAAAUGUAAAAACUUUCACUGAACAUUAAUGAAAAGGGCUUGGACCUAAUCUUCUCAUCAUCAUUUUGUAUUGAUGAGUAUAAAUAUUAGGAAUUGGCUCAAAUCAAAUUGCCUCGAUAAUUAUAAAAGGAUCAGAAAUCUUACCCAAAUGAUGACAUAUAUCAGUCCAGAAAUUUGGCUAAUCCACAUCCAAACAUGUAUCAUCAUGCAUAAUUAUACAUUCAUAUGCAAUUGUGUUUAUGAAUUUCAAAAUGUGCCCAAUAGGUAUUUGAAAUAUAGGUCCCCCUACUAAAAUCUAUAAUACCAGGCUUCGUAAAAGGAUGUAAAAUGAAGAAAGGGUUGACUACCAAAAAGAGCUGGAUGAUGUUAAGAAUAACAUGGCUCGGGUGACUAGUUUACUCGACCAACUCUUGCGAGCAUAGUUAGGGGAAGGGACAUCCAGUCAUCAUUUGAAUUUGUUAUCGCCGUUAGCAGCUCUAGUUAUCAUUGACCAACAAAACUUGGAAACAAAUCCUACCACUAGACCACAAGGAAUAACAAGAAAUUCAAUGACUUACCCAAUUAUGCCUGCUCAAGUACCGACCAUAAUAGAUCUAACUAUGAGGGAAUUCCAUGGGGUUAAAUCUUUUGGUGACCCUAAACAAGAUAAGUGGGUUGCUUGGGAGGAGAGGUUUAGAGUUGUUAAGGGAUUUGAUGUCUGUGACUUGGUUAGAGCAGUUGAGAUAUGCCUAGUACUAAAUGUAAUGAUACCUAAAGAGUUUAGAGUACCAGAAUUUGUCAAGUACACAGAGUUAGAAUGCCCUAAUACAUACCUAAGGUCAUAUUAUAAUAAAAUGAUGGAGGUCAUAUAUAAUGACAAGUUGCUCAUCCAUUUCUUCCAAGACAGCUUGACUGGUUUCGUCUUAAAUUGGUAUAUGACUUUAGAUAAUACAAGGCAAUACAAAUUCAAUAUUGAUAUCAUUUUAGACUGGACAAGUUUAAUAGUGAUGGAGAAGGGCAAUAAAGAAAUAGUGAGGGGGUAUGCUUAUAGAUGGAAAAACAAGGCAAUGCAUGUAUAAUUGUCUUUGUUAGAAAAAGAAAUGGUGACUUUAGUCGCCAAUACUUUCAAAUCUCCAUACUAUGAGUACCUGAUGGGUAGCUUUACCCAACACUUUUAUGAUGUCAUGGUUAUUAUUGGGAGAAUAAAGUAAGGGAUAAGAGCCGACAGAAUAUCAGAACCCACUAAGAAGGAAGGGUUUACUAGGAGGAAAAAAGAUGUUGAGGUAAGCAAUAUAGAAGAAGGGUACAUGGGUAAAAAGGAUUUCCAAACCCAAAGCUAUCACAUCCAAACCUAUUAAGCCUUGUCUCUUAAAGUACACAAUAUCAGCUUUGCCAAGUCUUUUAUAGUAAAUCAGCCUACCAACCCAUAAAAAAACCAAACUGAAAACAACCCAAAAAGAACAUACCAAAGAAACCAAGAACAACUCCCACCUUUACCAAUACCUCUAGGGAAAAUGUAUGCAAAACGGUUAAGUAUAGGUCAUGUGACCCCUCUUCCUUUUCCACCAUUUAAACCUCCCUUUCCAAGUUGGUAUAAGUCAGAAUUGACCUAUCACUACCAUGCUAGAAAUCUUAGCCACAUCAUACACUUGCUCAGCAUUUAAGAAGAAGCUCUUGCAAUUAUUCAAGGCAGGGUGAAUAACUUUUAAAGAUACCCCAACAUCAAUUUCAACCCUUUACCCAAUCAUGCUUCUAGUAGUGGAGGAGUAAACAUUGUGGAGUAUGAAGGGAAGAAAAAGCAAGUUUUAAGGGUAAACAUGGAUAAGCUAUAAGACAUGUUGUUGUAAGCCGAGUAUUUUCCAGUAAAAAAUGGAUCAGGUCCAAAAAAGGAUGAUGGUUUUGGUAGGUUCCACAAAGCGAUGGGACAUAACAUUGAGGGAUGUGAGGAGUUUUAGCAGAAGGUGAUAUAAUUGAUAACUUUUGAUCCUUUACAAAUAAAGAAGGAGGAAGAGGAUGAUGUGUGGGCAUGAUAAGUUUAUUAGGGAAGAAAGUAGAAGUGUGUAGGAUCCACCGUACUGAGAGUGGUCCACUAAAACUUGUUUUGACAAGAGCUACCUUUUGAGGAAAAGUUGUUGACCAUACACAUUUUUUAUUCUUCUGAUUCUAGAAAAACCAAAGCAAACACCCAUCAAGAUGGAUUGAAACUCCUUUAAAUAUUGUUUUUUAUUGCUUAAAUCUCUUUCAAAAAAACUUUGUAAUGGCUAUAAAGUGAAGAAAAUGGUUUUUAUGAUGGUUUUUUUAGUGGUUUGAUGAAAAAUUUGGGUCUAAUGUAUGGUGUACAUGGUAGAAUAAGUGAAGGGUAGUUUAUGUUCUUAUAUAAGCCUUGGCUCAUUAAUGAAGCUCAAUUAUCUUUAGCUUCUUGUGCCACUAGAACAUUUAAUGGCCUUAAACUGCCGAUUAAUUACUUUAUUGGAUUGAUUAAGUCAUCUCUUUAGGUCUAGGUAUAUGAUAUGACCCAUCACUUUAUUGGACUAAAAAAGGAUGGGUCAAACCUUAAGAAGUCUAAUUGACUUAACUACACCAUAACAUACUAGUCUUUAGAUUAAACAUAAGGUUUCCACAUAACCCAAUACGACAACACACUCGAGUAGAGGAGCAAACCAACUCCAAAACACAAGUUAGAAUAGGAAGGGCGUAACCCAAAAUUAUUCUAUCCACUCUCUCUAUAGUUGAUAUCAAGCGUUAAAUGCUCUCAUGUCCUCCUAUUAUAAUUAGGCUCAUAGAUUGGUGUUAGGGAUGCCCAUAGCCAGUGGAUAACCCAUAUGAUAUCAUUUCUUUACUCAAUAGUGAAUCACCAACCAUAAGAAUGUUAUCCUAAGUAAUUGCAACUAAUGUAUGUUUCAUAUUAUUUUCCCCUCACUUUAUCCUUAAUUUCAUGCAAGUUGGCAUGAUUUAUGGCUAUAUAAAUAUCUAUGAAUCACCAGGUAAGGCAAGUUCCAAUAACAUAUUUCUUAGUGCAUAUUUUUCCUCUUCGUAACUACAUGUCAUUACGACCCUGUUUGGGGUUGCGUUUGCACUAUAAUUUUAGUAAAUUUUGAAAUUUCUUUCUUCAAAUUAAUUUUUGUUAUGUAUUUUUAAAUCGUUUUGAUGUGCUGGUGUCAAAAAUAAAUUAAAAACAAAUACAAAAAUAUAUUAUUUUAAUGAAUUUCCAAACGAAAAACAAUUUAAAAAGCAACCUCAACCACACUUUCACAUCUCCUUUAAAUUUAGCAAACAUAUAUACUACACGAACUUGAAAGGCUUUAUUCCUUUUAUAUUUGUGAUAACUUAAGUAUUUGAGGAUCUUUUACGCUAAAAAGUAUUUGUCUUCGGGUAUUCAUGAUUUCCAAUGUUUUUCAACAAUCUACUUCUAAAUUUUCAGCCCAUUUAUUAAUCUUGAAAAGGUCUUAAUCUUGUGUGGUUUUCCUCACCCUCGUAAAAAAGAAAGUAAAUUAACAUGUCCUUUGCUCUUAUAUUUACACCUUAAUAAACACGAAUCCAUCCUAUGUCUUCCUCGUAAAAAGAACAAUGCUAAAUAAAUUACAAAGUAUUGAUUUCUUGGAGAGAAAAAUAUGGUACCUGCAUAAUUAAUGCCGAAAACAUGUGAAUAAAUUAGAAAGAAAGGAUUUUAUAUUAGCCAUAGUUUCAUAUAAAAAUGUGAAUAGUUUUGUCUUUAUUAAAUUUCCGGAAGUAUAUUCAAAAUAAUCAUCAAGUAAGUGGCCUUUGUUUCAUAACCUAAAGCACCGGUCUUCUUAUCAACAGCAGAAGCAAUCCUUUUUUUUUUUUUUCUUUUUUUUUCUAUUUAUAGGCAAAAUAGUACAAGGAACGCCUAUGAAGAGGCAGCAGGAAAUUGUAGCUAAAGGAGAUUAAAAACAAAUCACACUAUAUUACUAUCAAAACUCAUGCCACUGCUUCUGAUGAAGUACUGCUUCUAAAGCGCAAGACUUCAUCAGAAGCAGAUACCAAGACCAAUCAACUAGAGAAAAUUCAAUCCUAUGGGAGCAUCUUGGGUUUUCCUUUAUGAUGGGUAUCGUAUGUCCACAGCGUUACAACUGGAGUUUUGCUAGCUCCGCAUCAAACAACUCAUCACGUCGGUAUUAUGUAUUCAUCCUCGCCGGGCCAAGGCAAAAGUGUCGUCUUCAUGAUACCGAUUUCUCUUAUAAGGUAUGGAAAAUAUCGGCAUCAAUUCCAUCUCCAUCUCCAUCUCCAUCUUUCCUUGCAUCAAAUUUUUUGUUUGAUCUUUUGAGCCAGCAGUUUGGACCCAAUGAUGUAAGGGUAAAUAAUGAUUCAUGGUCAUCAGCAUGUGUAUGGGAUUUGGUAUUCAGACUUCUUAUGUUUACUCGUAUCCUCGGACGAAUCUUGAUGUCUUGUCGAUGCAGUCUGGCAACAGGAAGUCUAUGGGUUUUGGCUGUAAAUGGCGCCGAGAGAGCCCUACCAUCAAAGGCAAUAUCGUCUUCAGUUUCAUUAUCGUUUGUCCUGUUUACCUUUUUUAUUACGGACGAAAUGGUUUGACCUUCGAUUCCGGAUCAUUCUUUCUUGUUAGAAAUUUGUCUUAGAAAACUUGGCGUUAAGAAAUUAAAAGUAGAGUACACUUAUUUUUAAAUUUAAGAUGAUUGAAAAUUAUUUUUCUGACAAAAGUAUUUUUACAUAAAAUAUUAACUUGUCUAAAAUAAAUUAUGAAUAAAUAAUAAAUUAAUUUUAAAUAACUCUUAAUUAACAUAUUUUUUUAAAAAUUAAAAGCACUCAAUCUCACAUUGGGCACAAAGAACACCAAAGUUUUUAGAUGGGAAAUGCCCUAAUCUAAGUGGGCUUAGGGCAUAAUUCACACGCGCUCGCUAAGCUUGACUCGACAUCGAGCUCAAGCUUGGGGCUUGGGCUUGUUAUAAAAUAAUUUUUUGACCCAUAAAAAUUUAAUUUUUGCCAACCCUUAAAUAAAUAAUUUGAAUAGUUUAUUUUCAAAAAUAAAAAUAUAUGGUUUUUAAGGAAAAAAACUGUUCGGUUUUUUAUUCUUUUUAUGGUAGGUAAUUUAGGUAAAAUAGCAAGAAGUAAUUUUGGUAAUUAUUAGAGUUAAUUCCAUAUUAGUUUUUGUUCUAAAAAUCGGUAUAAUAAGGAGUUGAAGAAGAGAUGUUUUGUAUAACUUGCAAUAGUUUUUUUUUCUUUUUCUCCAUAGUUUUUUCAUCUUCCUUAACAUGAUCUUGCCUUGUUUUUACUUUAUUCUAGAGCUUAGGUUCUAGUACUUUAAGAGUGAUUCAGGGUCUUCUUAUUUUUUUUACACUAUCAGAAAAUCAAUGAAUACAAAUAGAAACACCAACGGAAAAAAUACAUCAGUAUUUUGUGGUGAUAUUUACCGAUCAAAUUUUUUCAAGUGCUAACUCUGUUGAUAAAUACUGACGGAAAUAUAUCAUCGGUAUAUACCGAGGGAAUCCCAGUUAGAAUAAAAGGAAUUAAAAAAACCAAACAGUACGAUAAUGUGUAAGUUUUUAUAGAUGCUUUUACCGAUGGAAUUACAGUUGAAUUCAAACAGACAAGUCGUACAGUGACGUGUCACUUAUACCGAUAUAAAUGUCGACGGAUUGAUAGACGAAAUAAUUUUAUCGGUAAAUCCAUCGGUAAUAUUUAAUAUAUGACUUGACGCUUGACCCAGCUCUCCCCCUCCCCUAUUUCUCUUUUUUUCAAAGCAGCCCCCCCACCAUAUCCCCUCUCAUCUCAAUACAACUCAUUCUUCCGUAAUUUUUCAGUUACAACAACACUCUAUUUGACAGCAUUCGUGUUCCGGUUGAAAUUUUAUUGGGGAUUUUUCAUCUUAAGUAAGCAAAUCUAUCCUUUUUUAUUGCAUAUUUUUGUAGUAUAUGUAUUUUGUUUGAAUGUUUACUUGUUUUAUUAUUUUUUCUCAAACAAACUUGUUAUAUGGAUUUAUGAAUUUGUACAUGUUAUGGUUUAUUUUAGGUUCUGUAAAAUUAUAUUUGUUUGCAAAUUGUUGAAACUUAUAUCAAAUUAUCGACUUAGGUGUGUUGUAAUAAAAUAACUAAUGACUUGUUUAACGACUCUAUUUUAUAUUUUUUUAAUUUUAUUGUCGAGUUGUAAUUUUUGUUAACGUGUACAAAUUUGUAUCUACAUAGAUAAUUUAUAAUGAAUUAAGAGAAGUAUUAAAGUAGGUUGAAUAAUCUUGAGUUAAACCAAUAUUUUUGCAAAUUUAUUUAGUUAACAUAGUUAAUUAAUACAUGUUGUCAUCAUUAUUUGAUAUAAGUUCGAUGGACGUCAUGGAUGAUCGUUCAUGAAUGUAUCGAGAUUCACCCCAAGGAUUGCGGAGGAUGGAUUAUUUUAAUGGGUUUUAGGGUUUUAUUAAUUAUGUAACAUCUAAUAUGAGAAAUAUUAGUGGAGGCAGUAUUAGGUGUUCAUGCAAGAGGUGUAAAAAUAAAAAGUUUCUCGAUUCAGAUGAUGUAAUGAUACAUCUUCUACACAAAGGGUUAAUGGAGGAAUACUUGUGUUGGUAUGCACACGAAGAACCAUUUGUUCCUCACGAGACCAUGGUAGAUAGGAUGGUUGAGUCAACUUCUAGUGCUAGCAACGUGCAUGGAGUUUUAAAUGACAACAACAAUCCUUUUUAAGACUAUGGUUAUGGAAACGAUUAUAAUGAAUCAAGGUCAUGAUGGUUAAUGUCCAAUUGUAGAUGAAAAACCUAAUGCAGACAUUGCCAGAUUUUUUUGAUCUUUUGAAAGAUUCUGACGAGCCAUUAUGGGAUGGCUGCACAAAUCACUGUAAAUUAUCGGUGUUGCACACGUGUUUACCAUAAAAUUGGAUUAUCGGUUGAUAAGGCAGGUUAUGACAGAAUUGUCAAAUGUGCGAGAAGUAUUUUACCUGAAGGGAAGAGGCCAAAAGAAAAUUUCUAUGCUGCUAAGUCUAUGAUGAAACCCCUUGGUCUAGGAUACCAGAAAAUUAACAUGUGUCCAAACUUUUGCAUGCUAUACUACCUUGAAAGUACUGAGCUAACCAAGUGCAGGACAUGUGGGCAUUCCCGUUAUAAACCCAGAACUAGUAGGGGAAAGAUUCUUGUUGCACAAAAAAAACUUAGAUACUUGUCAAUCACAUCAAGAUUACAGAGGUUAUUCAUGUCACUAAAUACUGCUGAGCACAUGACAUGACACCAAUCACAUAAUACGAUGGAUGAAGUGAUGACACACCUUUCCAAUGAUGAAGCAUGGAAACACUUUAAUAAUGUGCAUCUUUACUUUUCAGUUGAAUCAAGGAAUGUGCGUUUUGAGUUAGGUAUAGACAGAAUCAAUCCAUCCGAAUCAUUUGCUACUCCUUUUUCUUGUUGACCGGUUAUACUCACGAUUUACAACUUGCCACGAGGGAUAUGUAUGAGGUAGGAGUUCAUGUUUUUAUCUAUAUUCAUACUUGCCACCAGGAAUAUAGAUUUUUUGUCUUCAACUAUUGAUUGAUGAGUUGACGUAGUUGUGGUCCUUCGGGGCUUUGAGUUAUGAUGUAUCGAUAAAACAAAAUUUUCUUAUGAAGGCAGCUUUAAUGUGGACUAUCAAUGAUUUUCCAGCUUAUGGAAUGGUUUCUGGUUCGAGCACGUAUGGAAAACUAGCAUGUCCAUACUGCACAAAAAAUUACUAGGCAUUCACGCUAACAAACAACGAUAAAAUGUCUUUUUUUGACUGCCACCGAUGUUUUUUUGCCAACGGAUCACAGGUAUAGAAAGAACAGAAAGGAUUUUAUUAUUGACAGAGUUGAAAAGGAUGUUCCACCCCCGUGUGUUUCUGGUGAAGAAUUAUAUGACGUGGUGUCAGAGUACGGUGAUAUUGUGUUUGGUUUUCAAUCCUGUAAGCAGAAGUUUUCGAGUUUUGGUUUGACCUACAAUUGGGUAAAACAAAGUAUUUUAUAGAAGCUUUUUUAUUAAAAGACCAAUCUCCUCCGCCACAACCUUGAUGUCAUGCACAUAGAAAAGAACGUGUUUGAGAAUAUUUUCAAUACGGUCAUGGACGUGAAGGGGAAGACAAAGGAUAACAUCAAGGCUAUAUUGAAUAUAGCUUUGUUAUGUAACCGUAAAAAUAUGUAGUUGGUUUAUGCUGGGUCAUGGGUUGUAAGACCCAAAGCAAGCUUCGCUUUAGACAAGAAUACACAACUAUUAGUCUAUCAAUGGCUUAAGAGUUUGUGUUUUCCCGAUGGACAUGCCUCGAACAUAUCAAAGUUUGUUAAUUUAGAGGAUUGCAAAUUGUAUGGAAUUAAGAGCCAUGACUACCACGUGUUUAUGCAAACAUUAAUUCCAUUAGCUUAUCGUAUUUUAUUGUCAAAUGGGAUAUGAGAUGCACUCACGGAGAUCAAUUAUUUCUUUAGAGAUAUAUGUUCCAACAAGUUGCAGGCACAACACAUUGAGAAGCUUGAAAUGAAUAUCGUCUAGACAAUAUGUAAACUUGAGAUGAUAUUCCCUCCAUCAUUUUUUGACUCGAUGGAGCAUCUACCCAUACAUUUACCAUAUAAGGAAAAAAUUGGAGGCUUAAUUCAGUAUAGAUAGAUGUAUCCAUUUGAGAGGUUAGAGAUUACACAUGCAAUGCAAUUAAAAAAGUAUUUUCAUUGUUUUUGUUAAUUGAAAACAUUCGUUUAAUUCCAUGCAAGUACCUUUUUAACCUUUAAAAAAAGGUUAAAAACAAAGUGUAUGUUGAAAUUUCAAUAUGUGAGGCCUAUAUUGUUGAUGAGAUCUCAAAAUUUAUCUCCUACUAUUUUGAGCCUCAUUUAAGAACAAGAAUCAAUCACGUUUCAAGGUAUGAUGAUGGUGGUGAAGUGCCUUUAAGUGGGAACUUGUCAAUAUUCUCAAAUUCUGAACGACCCGCACUAAAAAGUGUUGUUAGGGGAAGAUAUUUAUCUGAAAUAGAAUUCAGAUAAAUAUAUAAUUAUAUGCUAUUUAACUACGAUGAACUGAGACCUUUUAUUCAAUAAGUAGAAUACUCAACUUUGUUAUUAAUAGACUAUUUAUCUCUUGUAAUAUCACAAACUUAUACAUUGUUAAAUACCUCGUAGGCAACAUCGUUAAUAUUUACUGUCUAAUAACUCACAAUAGAUUGAAUCUCAAAUCUUUCGAUUACAAGAUGAAUAAUUUACCACGUGGUUCAAAAAACAUGUAAGUACUAUCACAAACUCAUUAUCAAUCAUGAUACUUAAUUUCGUUAUAAAAUUCUCGUUCACUAUUCACUGUUGUACUUGAUGUACCACGUUUAUAAAUUGGAAGGGAAUGCUAGUGCUACAUUGUCUUUACUAAGUUUAGGUCUUGAAAGAUAGGUGAAGUGCUACAACAUGUAUUUUGUCAAUUGAUACGUGUUUUAUAUUAAAGAAUAUAGGCAGGGUAGAAAUACAUAUGACAAUGAGAUUUAUGUUAAGAGAUCGACUUUUAGUGAGUUUGAAGUUGACUAUUAUAAGAAAUUAAAAGAGAUAAUUGAAUUGCAAUAUCAUAGCAAGCAUAAUAGAGUAUUUUUAUUCAAAUGUUAUUGAUAUGACACCGCUGACUAAGGAAUCAGAGUAAAUCCCCAUCAUGGUUUAGUCGAAAUUAACUCAAAAGCUAGACUCCGCAAUGUCAACAAUUUCUUUGUUUUUGCUAAGCAAUGUUAGUAAGUUUAUUACACAUACACCCCUUCUUCAGAAAAGAUUAUUCAAGAGUUGAUUGAUUAUCCGUAUUGAAAACCAAACUCAGGGGUCGUGUCGAGGUUGUUUAAGAUGAGAACGAUGACUCAAAUAUGGGAGAUGAUGUUUUUCAAGUUAGUGAGUUAGUUGAACUAUAUCGAGUUGCUCUAUCGAUUGACUUAUAAGAAAAUUUAAAUUUUCACGUCUUCAAUAAUAUUUUUGUUAAUAUUGACGUUGAGGAGUUAAAUGUUGUUCUCAGCUCCAACGGACAAGCACAAGUCCAUGAAGAUGAUGGUAACAAUGAUAUCAACGUAGAAGAUUAUGAUGGAGCUGGCGACGAGUCAAUUAAAGAAGAAGAAGACAAUUCUGACUAAUUAUCAAAACAUGGAACUGUAAUGCCAUAAAUUAUAAUAUAAUAUUUAUUGAUGAAAUUAUCUACAAAGAAGUAUUUAUUUUAUUAUUGUUAUGUAAACUCGUAUUAUUGUGUUGUGCGUGCAACUUUCAAUUUAAGUAUUUGCAGGAUGGAUAUAUAGGAAAUACAAAUAUAAUCUGGCAUCAGACACUGUUUAACUUGGAUAUACAUUAAAACAAUAUUUUUUAUUUUUAAAAAAUUAUUUUUGAUAUCAAUAAAUCAAAAUAUAUAAAAAAAAUUUAAAACUUUUUUUUUUCAAAACUUGCCCAAAUUUCAUUUGGAACACAAUAAGAAACGAGAGGCUACCAUCAAAUGCAAUAUCGUAUUCAGCUUCAUUAUCGUUUGUCCAUUCCACCACGAACCAAAUGGUUUGCCCUCCGAUUCAGGGUGAUGCAUCUUUCAGUCAGCAUUAAGGCUCGGUAAUUAUAUUUCCUAUGAUUAAGAAACUUUUGGAUCUAUUCCCACUCCAUAAAGAUUUUAUUGUUAUUAAACUUCUUCAAUCUUUAUAUUUUCUCUUGAAGUGAAAGCUAAGGAUAUCUACAAAUAAAAGAAAUUCCGAACCUAACAAAAAAUUGAAGUGUACAUUAAACUUAUAAUUGAAUUUGGCCUUGUUGCUUAAAUUCUGAUUCUUUAUAUAUGAUUUUAUUGAUAUUUUAUUGCAAAAUAGAUUAUUACAUCUCAUCAUUUUAUAUAUCAUCAUUAAUUCUUUUUAUUAAAAAGAAUAUUUUACGGCCAAUUUAUUUCAUGACAAUGAAUGAAUUUAUUUAACAUAUUAACGAUUUUUACUUUAUUGAAAAUAUAUUUUAAUAAAAAAAUUUAAUAGAUAGUUAUGAUGUUAUAUUAUUAUGAAAUAUAAAUAUAAAUAAAAAAACUCAAAGAAGGUAAGUUUUAUCACUCAACAAAUUUAAAAUGGAUAAAAAUAACAAUUGGAGUGUGAAUAGCUAGUGCUUUCAUUCUUUUUAUGAGAAUUAUGGUGUACUUUGAAUUGGUUUCAAAAUCUAAUGUAGAAACUCCCUUCAUACUAUGAAAUAAUUUGUCUUUGUCAAUUGAAUAUAAAAUUAAAAAAUAGCAAAAGAUAUUACCUUUGGAAACUAAGAGGAUAAUCUUUAGAGAAGUCCCCCUUCCCUCUCAUCAAAUUAUAUUAAAAAAUUAUGGAAUCAAAUUUUAAUAUCUUUUAUAGAAUUUGAUAGGGAAUUAGGGCCCAUCUUCAAGAUAGAGAUUAAAGAGAAAAUCAUUCUUAAAAAAUGAAUAUCUCCACUUUAGAAAUAAGUGUUUUGAUUUAUAUCUCCUCUUGAUAUCUAUUUUUCUCUGUAAAAUAAAAAUUAGUAUUCAUUAGUUACUACUGAAGUAACACAUGAAAUAUUUUAGUGAAUUAGAUCAAUUAAUCUAAAUUUCUAUAUUUAAAUAUUGCACUUGACCCGAUUGCAAUUGUGAUUUGAUUUCAGUAUAAUUGACGAAACCCAAAUGUGCUCAUUAAUUGUUAACAUCGAAAGUUUAAAAAAGUUGAAUGUGUUAAAAUCACUCGAAACCUAUAUAAAUAGAUACAUAUGAUUAAAAUGAAAAAACGAAGAGACACAAAAUAUUUAUAAUUCUUCCAAAUAAGUUUUAUUUAAUUCAACAAUUUGUUUAACAAUACUAAUGAUGUUGUUGAGUAGGAUUAUAGUUGAUAAUAAUAAAUAAUUGAUGAAAUCUUCAUGUUAAAACAAUACUAAUGACGAGAGGGAAGAUUGAAAAACAGAGAGGAAUUGUUUUGAGAUAUAGAGACGAGAAAAGAGAGAAAAUAGAGUAGAAGAGAGAAGAACCUCCACCGUCUGCCUUCUUCAAUAUUGCCGCCAUGAGAACCGCCUUGAGCCACUGUCGACAGCAGCUCUGUAAACCCCCGGUUAUAAUUUUUCUGGGUAUUUAAAAGAUGAGAAAUUUAACCAAUAGUAAAAGGGGUUAAAUUAAAUUAAAGAAACCUAAAUCAAGAUAAAAAUAGUGAAAUUAAUGAAAUGAAAAGUCAAUAUAGUACUAAAUUAUUGAAAAGAAAAACAUUUGUGAGGACAAAAUGAAUAUGUAAAAUCAAGAGAGGUCAAUAUUCAAAUAACAGAAGGUUGGGAGUUUAUGUACAAAUGAUAAAAAGGGGUGGGGAUAAAUGUGCAAUUAACAAGAUGUUAGAACUAUAAAUAUCAUUCUAUUUUCUCUCUUGGAGGAACUGACAAGAGUAAGAGAGAGUUUAGAGAGAGGCUGGACAGAAGACAUAUUGAUGGCAGAACAUCCGACAGCUAUAACUCCACCUUCCACCGUUGGAUCAGAACGAUAUUCAGAUAUAUUAUUCUCAUCCAUGUCAUGUACAUUUUCACUAUAGGGAUUUUCUAUAUGAGUCUCCGGUUGAGAGAUAUCGAGGGGGGAAAUAUCUGGGAAAAUACACUUCUGGACAAUCUUCUUUGCUGUCUGUUUUCUCCUUCGGCCACUGUUGGAUUAGGCUAUAAUUUGGAUAUGUUGUUCUUCCUGAUUCUGUCUAGACUCUGAACGGUGGAGAUCUGAAACAAACAUUCGGUAUAGAAGUUGUGCAUCUCACACAGUAGGUCUGCAAGUUUGAAGUCAGUUCGGUUAAACCCAUAUUUCUAGAAAUCGCACCAUUUGAUGAAGUUAAUAUUUGGAUAUGUUAUACUCAUAAUAAUGCAUUAUAACUUGACAGUAUGGAUUGUUUGGAAUAUUAUUCGUUUGUUAUUUAUGGUUGAUUGAAACUGUUUUCAAGGAUUGUGUUUAGAAGAAUAUUGUUCGGAAAGUUUGUAAAAUCGAUAAGAAUGUUUUAUUUUGAUGUUAAGAGGGAAGAUUGAAAUAAAUAAGGUAAAUUGGCUCUUAAAAAGAUAUUUUUUUGACACUCUUAAAUGAUAUGUGAUAUGGCCAGGGGUUGAGAUAAAAGAGAAAAAGUUAAAUUAUGGAUGUUGUGUGUAAAUGGAAAGGUUGAUGAAUCUUGACAGAUUCGUCUCCUGACUUUUAAAGAGAAUUUGAGUAGGAGGAUGAGAGAAUUAGGAUCAAGUUUCUUCAUAGUAAUUGUAGUUUUGGAUGUUAGCUAACUAAGAAAAAUUGGUCUUGCUCAAUAUGGAGCUGUAGAACCCUAGCUAUGGGUCAUCAACUGAGAUUGGGUCCUGAUAGACCCUGUAGGGUAGUGUUUGUUGAUGAGCAAUUUUGACUAUUUCAGAGGCAGAACUGGGUUCUCCUUACUCAGAGAACUUGUAGCCUCGUGUAUUAGCUUUCCAACGAGACUAAUCUCGCUUGAAACAGAGUUCUAUAACUUUAGAUAUAGUUAAAAAUAUGAUGAGUGUUCAGACAAUGACAGUUGGACAAUAACAGUUCAAUAUCUAGACAGUAACAGUUAGAUAGUAACAAUUGGAAAUUUGACAGUAACAGUUCAAAGUUAGACAGUAAUAAUAAACUUUGACGUGAAUACUAUAUAAAAGAAUUGAGUCAUACGAACACUUGCACAUUGAGAUACUAACUCUAAAAAUAUACAUGAUAUAUGUAUGUAUGUUAUUAUGAGGAAAUGAACAUGCAUAAAAAGUAACAUAUGAGUAAUGGAUGAUUAUGGAUUCUCUGUAAUAUUGGACUGAAGGAAUGAUAACUAUGGUUGGAUAAAGGAUGACAACAUUAAUGGGUGUAAUGAGAAAAACAUGAGAUAUAAAGAAAGAAAUGAUUGAAAGAAAGAUUUAUUAGCUAUUGAUAUGAUUAUUAUAAAACAUAUCCUUGAAUGAGGAAAAUUUAUGAGAUGAGUUUGUGACUAUAGGAAGGACCACCUGUGUGGUGCAACAGCAGCAACAUGGGAGCACAAGUAGAGCUUCUACUGCAGGUAGGUGACUUUCACCUUCCUUUUAAAUAAUGUUGAAUAAUGAAAAUACUUUAUCAUGAAUAUUACUGUAUUGUGUUAAUUCAUAUACCAGAUUGUCAAAUGCUUAAAUGUAAACAAUUUAUUAGCUUCGGCUAAUGGCAUUCGAAGGGAUGACCGGGACAAACGAGUGAUUAGCUUUGGCUAAUGGCAUCCGAUAGGAUGGCCGGGACAAACGAAUGAUUAGCUUUGGCUAAACAAAUGAAUGAUUAGCUUUGGCUAAUGGCAUUCGAUGGGAUGACUGGGACAAACGAAUGAUUAGCUUUAGCUAAUUGCAUCCGAAGGGAUGGCCGGGACAAAUGAAUAAUUAGCUUUGGCUAAUUGCAUCUGAAAGGAUGACUGGGACAAACAAUUGAUUAGCUUUGGCUAAUGGCAUCCGAAUGGAUGACGGGGAAAAUUGAAUGAUUAGUUUUGGCUAAUGGCAUCCGAAUGGACGACCGGGACAAAUGGUUGAUUAGCUUUGGCUGAUGGCAUUCGAAGGGGAUGGCCGGGGUGAGUGAACAGUUAACCUCGACAAAUGAUGUCUUAAAAGAAUGGCUGGAUUUAAAUUUAAGAUUAUGGUUGAUUGUAAGAAUUGGUGCAUAUAUAUGUACUGCAAGUUGUGUAUACCAAGAACAUGAAGGAACUACAAAUGUCACGCUUCAAACAUGAGAUAAUGUUAAUGCUUCAUUAAAUUGCCAGACCAUUUUCUUCUUAUUAUUAUUAUUAAGUAAUUGCAUUCUUGUAAAUGUUUUGUACUGCAGUAGGGACGUCAUACCAACAAGGUGCCUAGAAAACGCAAUACACGGGAACCUACUUUUGCAAGGAAUCAUGUAGUUGCAUUCUAAAUCAUGAUGUAUUUUAUAUGAAUCAAUGUACUGAAUGUAUAACUAUUAUUAGAUCAUUUUAGAUUAAAUUCAUGAUGACUAUUUGUAGGAUAGAAUACAAACUCAUAUCUAUACAUGUAUAUUUUAAAUGCGAACUUAUAAUCAUGCAAACAUAAUAUUAUGAGUUUAUGUAAGAUUCACUUUUAACUGAAAAUGUUGAUUGUUGUUGAUGUAUGGAUUGUAUAUUGAUGAUGUGAAGGGAACAUGUUCGUCGAUUACCAACACGAUGUGUGUCAAGUACAAAAAAAAUAAAAAUUUACUGUUGUUUUGGGCUUGAAAAGUCGGGUUGUUACAAGCUCCACCACCAGCAGAAACAGAGGAGAAACCGAAACAAAACAGAGAAAAGGAGAAAGAACAGGAGGGAGGGCAGAAACAAAGGGCAAGGAAAACACAGAAAAAAGAACCACCAACCACCCUCAGCUCCCCAGUCUGCCACCGUUAGCGCCAAUAACAACGCCAUCGACAGUAGCUCCACCAUCGUCAGAGACCGAAGAAGAAAUGUAGAAGCAGGAGAAUAGAAACAAGGAGAAAAGGAAAACAUAGGAAAACAGAGAGAAAAACAAAGAAGAACCACCGUCUAGAAUCCUCCAUCCGCUGCACGAUUCUUCCUCAACACUGUCACCACUUGCCACAGUCAACACCAGCACCGCCACCACUGCCAGGUCAGCUUCUUCUCCUUCAUCGUCCUCGGCUACUCCACUGUUCUGUAUGAACAGUGGAGAGUCCUCCAUUGUUCACUAGGCCAGACAAGUCUGGCCCAACCCAAAACGAGAAUCGCCUAGAGCCACUGUCGACAACAGCUCCACCACCAGCAGAAACAGAGGAGAAACCGAAACAAAAUAGAGAAAAGGAGAAAGAACAAGAGGGAGGGCAGAAACAGAGGGCAAGGAAAACACAGAAAAAAGAACCACCAACCACCCUCAGCUCCCCAGUCCGCCACCGUUAGCGCCAACAACACCGCCAUCAACAACAGCUCCACCAUCGUUAGAGACCGAAGAAGAAACGUAGAAGCGGGAGAACAAAAACAAGGAGAAGAAGAAAACACUGGAAAACAGAGAGAAAAACGAAGAAGAACCACCGUUUGGAAUCAUCCGUCCUCUGCGCCAUUCUUCCUCAACACUGCCACCGCUUGCCACAGUCAACACCAGCACCGCCACCACUGCCAGGUCAACUUCUUCUUCUUCGUCGUCCUCGGCUGCUCCACUAUUUUGCAUGAACAGUAAAGAGUCCUCCAUUUUUCACUAGGCCAGACAAGUUCGGCCCAACUCAAAAUGAGUGGGUCGAGUCCGGCUCAGUCCAAAUUUUUUUUUUAAAAAAAAUCAUUUCGAAAAUUUGUGAUUUUUCUGCAUAUUUUUCUGUCCAUUUUGAUUAGUAUCGGUUUGUAUUUUAAUAUCAUAAGGAUACGAAUCUGGUUUUCAUCGAAACGUUGCAAAAAAUAAAAAAAAUAUCUUGUUUUCAUGCAUAUGACCAAGUCUUAAUACGACAAAAAAUCAUAUCGUAUUUUCAUACGACAAAAAAUCAAAAAUAUGUGUUAGCAUGUAUUUUAGCUUUAAUAACCAGCUUAUUAAAGCCACGAGAACUUGGUCAAUAUUCCAAAAAAUUUCAAAAAAAUCAUUUUGUUUUCUUUUAGUAUCUGGGAUUACAAAUUUAUACAUACAACGUAUUCCCAAUAUUAAAAAGAUAUUUCUUUUUAUUAACGUUAGAACGGUUAGGUUUUACCCGAUAAGAUAAAGAUAUGCUUACCGAGGAUGACUUUUCUUAAACUAUAGACAGACCAACAUAUAGACGUUAGCAUAUAUUAGACAAUAAAACAAUACAACUUACCUUAGGUAGGGCGUAUUUGAGUUGCUAAUACUUUCACUUUACGCAACUAGUCCCCGUGCCCGAUCUCUGAGACCAGUUAGGGUUCCUAGUGACCAAAACACUAGGUGACGACUUUCAUUCCAUCAUUCCACCGAUAAAAGACAAGAAUUCUCUGAGUGGACAAUCAUCGUGACGCCGCAUACGUGCGACAACAUGAAAGUCAUAUUGUAUGGAAUUUGUAUGAUGUGUUUCUUGAGAGAAAGCUUGUAUUAUUCAAAAUAAACUUUUAUUAAGUGUAAAUUAUUUAAAAUAAUAAUAAUUUUAUUCAGAACCUUUAUAAAUCUAUACAUAUAAUUAAAUCUAAUCAUAUAAUUUUUUUUAAAAAUUAUUUGAUUGCUGUCUUGCGCUUCUAUUAUCGUGGAAUUAAGUAAAAUAUGAUUUUAUAAAAUAAAGUUGUUAGACCUCACUGAGUCAUUUGUUUGGCAUGUAUACUGGAGUUGAUUCAAGAUAUCAUCGUCUUAAUAUUUGAAGAACAAUGUUAAAAUGUUGAUGUCUUCAAUUCUUUCUAGUCAAACUAGAUUUUUACUAGGUCGAUUAGAUCAAACUUUAACUUACUUAGUUGAUUGGAUCAUAUAAAAGUAAAAUCUAACCCAAUUUAGCUUAACACCUAAGCUAGGAGAGGGCUAAACUCAAAAUGUCUAUGAUUUUAAUUGAAAUUCAUUAAAACAUUAACAACACCUGUAAAUACAUUUUUCUUUUUGCCAUCAAAUUUAAUUUUUUAUCAUACCUACAAUGUAGCUUGGUUAAGUUAAUUAUGGAUCAUCUUACUACUUUUGUUUUUCAAAUUUUGUCAAGAAAUACUGCUAAAACACAUAUUAGCAACAAUUAUAUAUAUAUAUAUAAAUUAAUCCUACCUCAUGCAAAACACGUGCCACUAGCUAGGUUAAUUUAAAGCACCACUUGCUUUGCGGUAUUGGAGAGAAUGUAGUCAUCAUAGAUUCUGUUUGGAAAACUGAUCUUCGAAGAGAUUAGGAGCUGGAUAUUGUCUUCCUCUUCCUCUUUUUUAAUAUUUAUCUAUAUCAUAUUCCUCGUCUUAUUCUUCACCACUGUAAAGGGAUAUUUGAAAGGAAAAAAAAAUUGUAAAGUUUUAUUGUGUUUUUACUUUCCCGUCAUAUAUAGUUUUAAAAAAUACAUUUAAAAUCCUAGGUCAAAUAAAAAUUUAAAAAUAAUAAUAAGAAAAUAUUAUCAUAUAUAAUAUAACACAAAUAAUAACUAUAACUAUGAUAUCAAUGUUCACUAGGGUUCCAGAUUAUAGCUAUUUGAUUAUAGAAUUAAAAAGUGAGUCAGCCAGAAGGUAGUUAAUUGGCAUUUCACAGACAUAAAAUGGGUGUUUAUAAGUGAGGUGGUAAUUGUUUUUUAAAGUGUUUUUUGACUUGAAAAUGCAUCAAAAUAAUAUUUUUUAUUUUUAAAAGAUUAAUUUUGACAUUAACACAUCAAUAAUUUGAAGUAAAGAAAAAAAUAAUUUUUUUUUUUUAAAAACCUUUUGAAAUAUAAAAACAAAUAGCCAUAAUAACAAGCAAAACAUCAGAUGCAGUUAAUGAUUCUUAUAAGAUUUAAUCAAUUAUUUUUGGAACACGACAGUUAAAACCUUUGAAAUUGAAGCAUGCACCAUAAAAUGAUGAUGAUGGCCUUGCUGAACUGAACCAGAUUGCCUCAGGUUGUGGCUUACGUCGCCUUGCGUUGUGAUAGGAAAGACGUCUACGACAGCUUCGCUUCUUGUCAUCAAACUCUGACAAUUCACGGAACCUAAACAAAUUUUGCAUCCUAAAUGCAGCAGCAGCAGCAGACUUUAGCCGUAGAUAAUAACAUCAGAAAGCUUAGCAAAAGCAACAAAGCUAAAUCAUGGAGAUUAAAAAUGAAUAAUUACUAAGAAUUCCCCAAGAAUCAAGAUUCAUGAGAGUGUUACGUAUCUGGAUGACAGAAUAGUGGGAGAUGUUGCAACAAGAAAAAGACUACUAUGGGGAGGCAAGAAGGAGCGGGAAGUAGAGACGCCAGGAGCACACAACCUGCUGUUUAGUUAUUAAUAUUCUUUUAGUUAGUUGGAGUACAUUCGGUUAGCAGAGUUUGUUAAUCACUUUGAGUUAGUUGGAUUAGUACAAUUUCGAUUUCAUUUCUCUCUUCUCUGCUAAUAUCAUUCUGCUUCUUAGCCUCAUCUUCUUGAUUUGUUAAGUGAUCUUAACAAUUGAUUUUAGAGCCUUAAGAUCUAACACUAUGAUGAAAAAUCAUAAGCUGAAAAACAUUGAAGAACACUGCAAGAAAUUGGAGGAGCGAAUGCAAAUCCUUCAACAAGAACUCUAAGAAUCCCUGGUCGAUCAACAAAACAAAUGGCAGGAACAACUCGGUGAACAAUUAAAGUUGGAAGACUAAUUAGAUUAGUGCUCAAAUUGAAACACUGUCGAAUCAAUUUCAAACAUUCCUUGCUCAUCAGAUGACAGGGAAGGAUGUGGGAAGCACUUCUAGAGGAAUCUUACAGGCACUAGCAAGCGGCAGUCUUGAAGGAAUGUUAUCAAGGGGAAAAGGUCCUGCUAGGGGAGAUCAAACUUAUGGCCAGGAGCAGUAGAGAGUGGUGCAUAAUGCUGCUCUUCCAAGGAUGGAUCUGACAACAUUUCGAGGAGAUAAUCCUAGGGGUUGGUUAAGGAGGUGCAAGAAGUUUUUUAGCCUCAACUCAACUCCAUUUCAGUAGUGGGUAGAACUAGCAUCUAUUUACUUGGAAGGAAAGGCAUAAAUCUGGUUUGAAGGCUAUAUGCGUGGGGUAAUUCACUGGUUACUAUGCGCACAACACAGUAACAAGCUAUCUAUGGGCCGAUUCUGGCCUAGUUUCUUUUGGGCUAGGCCAGGCCCAGUUUUUUUGGGAUUUGUACUAUUUCCUCGCGUAUUUUUAUGCCUUUUUUAUUAAUUAGUAUUGGAAUAUAUUUUUAUGUCAUUAAAAAUACAAAAUCUGGUAUUAAAAUACCCGGUUUUCGUCAAAACUUCCAAAAAUACAAAAAAAAUUGAAAAUAGAAAAAAUAUUUUUGUGCAUACGGCCAAGAGUCUCAAAGCUAAAAAAAAUCAUAUUGUGUUUUUCAUACACCAAAAAACAAUGUUUUAGCAUGCAUUUUGGCUUUAAUAACCAGUUUAUUAAAGUCCAGAGAACAUUGACCAAAAUUUAAAAAACAACAAAAAUUUUAUUUUGUUUUGUUUUAAUAUCAGGGAUUAUGAAUUUAUACGUAAAACGUAUUCCCGAUAUUAAAAAGGUAUUUUCUUUUGACAACAUAGAACAGUUAGGUUUGUACCCGAUAAGAUAAGAACCUUCUUAUUGAAGAGGGCUUUUCUUGACCCUUUAGACGGACCAACAAUUAGAAAACACAACAAGACCAUAAUUUUUAUCAAACAUUAAAACAAUGCAGCUUACCUUAGGUAGGGCGUAGUGGGGGUGCUAAUACCUUCCCUUUACGCAACCAGUCUCCGUACUCGAUCUCUGAGACUAGUUAGGGUUCCUAGUGACCAAAAUACUAGGUGGCGACUCCCAGUCCAUAUUUUACUGAUAAGAGACAAGAAUUCCUUGUCUCUCCAUAUUUGCCAGACAGACCUUUACCAUUUUCGUUGUGAAUGGUGGACGAUCGUCGCGACGCCGCACACGUGCGACAAUAUGGUUGGUGGGGCAGUUUUUUCUGGUAGAGGUAACAACAAUACCACAUCAGGUACUUGCUAAUGCAGAAAUAACAAGGUUAUUGGCAGACUAUGCAGUUGCUUUUCAAGAACCAACAUCAUUGCCACCUACCAGGAAACAUGAUCAUAGAAUUCCACUAACAACAGGAGCUCAACCCGUCAAUUGCAAACCAUAUAAGAGCUCUUUCUUUCAAAAGGGGGAGAUCGAAAUGAUGGUCAAGGAGAUGCUACACAACAACAUAAUACAACCCAAUGUUAAUCCCUUUGCCUCUCCUAUUCUUUUGGUGAAGAAGAAGGACAACACAUGGCGUUUUUAUGUAGACUUUCGACUGCUGAAUGAAAAAAUUUCUUAGUAUUCUUUGACGAUAUUGUCAUUUAUAGUUCCUCUCUAAAAGAACACAUCAGUCAUUUGAAGCAAGUCUUGGACACUCUUAAAACUAACCAACUGUAUGCGAAGAGAUUCAAGUGCACAUUUGCAGAGCCGCAAGUAGAGUAUUUGGGGCAUAUAAUUUCAGCUGAAGGGGUAGCCACUAAUCCUAAGAAGAAACAGGCAGUACAGGAGUGGCCAAUUCCAAAAUCCAUUAAGAAGCUAAGGGGAUUCCUUGGCCUAGCUGGUUAUUAUUGAAAAUUCAUUAGGAAAUUUGGUAUUAUUAGCAAGCCUUUGACAAAUAUGCUCAAGAAGAAUAACUUCAUUUGGCAUGAAGGAGCACUAGAGGCUUUUCGCAACCUGAAACAAGCAUUGUGUAAGGCUUCAAUCAUGGCCUUGCCGGACUUUACCAAACCGUUUGUGCUGGAACCAGACGCUUGUGAUACUGGAAUUGGAGCAGUACUUAGCCAGGAAGGAAGACCAUUAGCAUUUUUUAGCAAGGCCUUGGGAGUCAAACACUUGAGGCUAUCCAUUUACGAGAAGGAAUACCUUGCUAUUCUAAUGGUAGUCGACAAGUGGAGGCAUUACUUGGAACAAGAUCAGUUUGUCAUUCAAACUUAUCAUAAAAGUCUGACGUAUCUACUUGAUCAGAAAAUUCACACUCCUAUACAAAAGAAGGGGCUGACUAAGCUGUGGGGGUUGAACUAUCGGAUCAGGUACAGAAAAGGAAAGAAGAAUAAGGCUGCAGAUGCCUUAUCUAGGAGGAAUAUGCAGGGGGAAGAAGGCUGUCAAGGAAAUAAAAUGGAAGGGGGAAGGUUCACCGCCAUAACACAAAUAACUCCCUCCUGGUAUGACAAGAUUUAUGCCUCUUAUAAAGACGAUGCCAAGUUGCAGGAUAUGAUGAGGAGUAAACUGGUAGAUGCUGCACAAUCUCUCAACUUUGUAUGUUGAAGGAGUGAUUAAAUAUAAGGGGAGAGUUAUUAUUGGAUCUGCAGGGUUAUUAAAGGAAGAACUCAUCAAGUCUACCUAUGAUUCCUACAUUGGAGGACAUGCUGGGAUCCAAAAUACAUACAGACGACUUAAGGCUCACUUCUACUGGCCUUCUAUGAGGAAAUUAGUGCAAGAAAUAGUUCAACACUGUGACAUUUGUAAACAAGCUAAGGCCGAAAGGGUCCCUUAUCUUGGAUUGUUACAGGCUCUUCAAGUUCGAAGUGGUUCUUGGCAGGAUAUAACCAUGGAUUUCAUAGAAGGAUUUCCAAGGUCAGAAGGCAAGGAUACCAUUAUGGUCAUUGGUGAUCGAUUUACGAAGUAUGGGCAUUUUAUCACAUUAGCCCAUCCCUUCACAGCUCAAGAGGUGGCUAAAUUGUUUCUGGAUCACAUUUAUAAGUUACAUGGCUUGCCUGCCACGAUAUUAACUGAUAGAGAUAAAAUUUUCACAAGCUUGUUCUGGAGAGAAUUGUUUAGACAUUUGGGCAUAAAGUUGUUACUAAACGCCUCCUAUCAUCCUCGAAUGGAUGGUCUGACCGAGAGGGUGAAUCAAUUCCUAGAGACUUACCUAAGGUGCAUCACUAUACAUUGUCCCAAAAGUGGAACACUUGGAUAUCGACAGCACUAUUUAACAAUUGUUUAGAAGGUAGAUAAAUUAUUUUGAAUUCACAAUUUAACAUGACAUGGAAGGAACAUGCAUUAGAGAGAGGAUCUAAUUUAACAUGUCGUACAAUAAUAACUUAAUCUAUAGCCUUUUUUAUUUAUUUUCUUUUUAAUUUUGGUACAAUAAAAAGGCUCUUCAAAUAUGUAGAAGAUAUAACAUAUUUAGAGUAUGAGAUAUUGAGGCCAGCUUUCAACUGCCAUGAUAUUUUCUAGUAAUUCCUUAACUUAUACUGCAUAUAGUUUAUUACUGAGUUGUUGCGUAAUUAAUUAAUUGGAAUAGAGGGCAUGUAUCCCAUCAAUAUCAUCCUGGGCGAGAUCUCUUUUCUUCUUUCCAGCUUCUAUCGUUGGAUACAUGAUGGCUUCGGGAUGAUCUGUACUAUGAUGAAGGCCAAGCAGAUGUCCUAUUUCAUGAACAGUAACGGAUUCCAGGUCAGUUUGAUCCAUUGCGGGGUCAGUGCUCCAGUUCUCGUCUGCAUCGUAAUGGAGACGGCCGUCUUGUGGAUAAAAAGCAUGAGCCAGUGUUUUCCCUGGUCCAUCAAAAGGAUACCGGUCCCCAUGAUCGCCGCUGUAGAACUCAAUUACAAUAUCUGCUGAUGCACCGGCAGUCGCCUCCUGGAAAGUGAAUUUAGAAACCUUUGCCCAUGUUUGGAAAGCUUUUGAGCAGACCGACCUCAAGGUGUCCGAACCAACAACUUGGACACCGGAGCCAAAUCUGUAGGUCAGAGCAUACUUGGAAGGUGGCCACUUUUCUGCCCCGAAAGCAUAAUGAGCCACCAUGUGGACCUUCUUGUGUUUUGAUUUAGUGCUGUUCGGUUUGGUGGACGGAGUGUUUAUGAUAUCAGGCGUUCCACAUCGUGGAAUCACCAUUUGUUGUAUGGUACUAGAGUCGAGGUUACCAGUAACAUUCAGAUGAAAAUAUUCUUGGUAUGUUUUGAGUGCUAGCUCCAAGUGGUCAUCAAAAUCACUGCUUGUGAGAGUGAUAUCAUCACUUGGGUAGUACCCAAGCUUUUUGAGAUAUUGUUUGAGCUCAAUAAGCCCUUGCACAGUUUGGCCCUUUUUAACCCCUUCCAGCCCUUGAAGGAAGCUGCUAAAAGAUUGCCGAUGCUCGGGUUUCAAAGUUCUUGCCAGACCUCUGAAGGACUGGAUAGAAAAGAUAACGAGGAUUGCUGAUAAAAGAUGGGAAAGAUUAGGAGCCAUAUAUUAUGUUGUUUCGGAGAAUGGCUUCAGACGUGGGUUGUGGCUUUCAAUUCUAGUAUCGGAUGGCUAUUUAUAGGCAUAGUAUGUUGUAUUGGCAUUAGGACUAUAGAAUAUGUCUUGAGAUUUACUACUAUCCUUAUUUUUGUUAAUUCUGAUUACUUAUUUUCAAAUAUUAAUUAUUUAGACUACAUUUUUCCUUCAAGCAUCUAAUUUAUUUAUUUUCUUUCGUAGUAAUCAAUGAAAUUACUAUCUGAAUAUUUGAGUUUAACUUUCAUUUAUAUAGUUAUUAUUAGAUAUCUCUAUCCAACAAAAUCAACAACUUCAUUGUGAUUGUUUUUUAUGUAGCUUUUGUGGUUGUGAUUUUAAAAAAGUGCGGUUAGCUGUGGUUAGUUAGAUUUAGAUACGUGUUUGGUAAAAAUUGUGAUUGAAGUUUAUGUGUAGUAAAAAAACAUACUAAAAUGUUUGGUGGAAGUGUGGUUGCAGUUGCUUUUUAAAGUGCUUUUUACUUGGAAAUGUAUCAAAAUAAUAUUUGUUUUAUUUUUUUAAAAUUAUUUUUGAUAUCAGCAUAUCAAAAUGAUCUGAAAACACCAAAAAAAUAUUAAUUUGAAGUAAAGAAAAAAAUAAAAAAUUCUUAAAUUUUUUCAAAAGCGUUUUUGAAACGCUAAAACAAACAGGGUUUUACAAAACUCAGUUAAAAAAGCAUGUAAAAACUGCUUCACAAAAACUGCGUUUCAAACUCAAUUUUUUAGUGGGUCUCGUAGUAUAAAACGCAGUUUGGUUUGUUACCAAACACCUUGCCGCGUUUAUUGCACCGCAAACACAAAAGCAGGUGUAAAACAAAUGCAACCUUCUACUAUUAAGAAAGUACAUCUCUAUUCCGUGUCUCAUAAAUUUAAAUUAUCAAAUGGCUAAUCCUAAAUUGAAUCAAAGUUUUAUUUAUCAUUUCAAUAAUUUUAUUUUUGUCUUUGUUAGUCUUGAAUGAUUAAAUAUAGUAUAUUCUUUUAAUAUAUCUUUUUAUUUAAUUCAUUUAAAUAAUGUUGUUGAGAAGGAGCGCUCAAAAAAUAAAUGAUCAUGGGUUUCCACAUGUAAACCACACAAAAUACAUACAGUAGAGGUGAUGAUCUGAAAAGUCUGUAGUCUGUUAAUAGUGUGUAGACGACCCAAAAAGACAAGCCAUAAGAUGAAGGAGUGUCAUGGGACAUGUCCUAGAAACCAAAGAAGAUGGUGCAUAAUAUUCUUGGGCCUGGUAUCUGGAAGUGCCUCCCAAGAGAUCCAAAAGAGAUGCUUUCAAAUCAUUAUCCACACCUUAUAUGAAAACAUGACUCUUCUCUAGGUUGAUCAUCAGCCUUGAUAACACAACAAAGUCAUCCAGAGCCCUCAUCACAACACCCACUGAAUUGGUGUCUGCCUGACAAAAUAUCAUAAGGUCAUCAACAAAGAAUAAAUGAGUAAUACUCUCGUGUUGACACCUCUAGUGAUAGUGGUAUCUCUGGUUCUAAGCAGCCUUUCUAAGAAUACCAUCAAGCCCUUCAUAGCCAGCACAAACAAAGUUAGCUACACGCAUACUUUGGUUACGAGACAGCUUAGGGGCAUACAAUAUGUGCCAAGGACAACUAAACUAUCACAAUUCUCUGGGUUAUUCAAAGACCAAUCCGCUUUAGAAGUUAUGGAAAACAUCAAACAAGAUUGGAAGCUUUUGGUAUCGAUAAAAAAAAAAGAAUUAGAUGGUUUGAGAGAUCUAGUCACUAGUGAAAAAUACCCGAGGUGGAGAAAUCUAUCAUUGGUGACUUUCUUCAUGAAUCUCGAAUUCAAAACGGAAACUUCACAAACCGCUGAACUAAAUAAGAGAAAAAGAAUUAACAACGAGGAAGAGUUGAGAGAACAACUGGAAAAGCUCUAUGUAGAAUUGGGCACCAAUAAAGCCCUCAAGAUCUCCCUCGAGGAACAACUCUUCAUUGAAGAUAAACUGAGGAAGUUUAUGGAGUAACAGUUGAUGAACUGACCCUUAAAUGUAAAAGCUUUCACUGAACAUGAAUGAAAAGGGCAUGGACCCAAUCUUCACAGCAACAUUUUGUAUUGAUGAGUAUAAAUUUAUUAGGAAUUGGCUCAAAUCAAAUUGUCUCGACAGUUAUAAAAGGAUAAAAAUCUUACCCAAAUGAUAGCAUAUAUCAGUCAGAAAUUUGGCUAAUCCACAUUCAAAUAUGCAUCAUCAUGCAUAAUUAUACAUCCAUAUGCACUUGUGUUUAUGAAUUUCAAAAUAUGCCUAACAGGUAUUUGAAAUUUAGGUUCCCCUACUAAAAUCUACAAUACUAGGUUUUGUAAAAGGAUGGAAAAUGAUGAAAGGGCUCACUACCAAAAAGAGUUGGAUGAUGUUAAGAAUAACAUGGCUCGGGUGACUAGUUUACUCGACCAACUCUUGUAAGCACAGUCAGGGGAAGGGACAUCCAGUCAGCAUCCGACUCUAUAAUCACCGCUAGUAGCUCUAGUUAUCAUUGACCCACAAAACUUGGAAACAAAUCCCACCGCUAGACCACAAGGAACAAAAAACAUUCCAAUUACUCACCCAAUUAUGCCUGCUCAAGUACUAACCAUAAUAGAUCUAACUAAAGGGGAAUCCCAUGGGGUUAAAUCUUUUGGUCACCCUAAACAAGAUAAGUGGGUUGCCUGGGAGGAGAGGUUUAGAGUUGUUGAGGGAUUUGACGUCUAUGACUUAGUUAGAGCAGCUGAGAUAUGCCUAGUACCAAAUGUAGUGGUACCCAAAGAGUUUAGAGUGCCAGAAUUUGUCAAGUACACGGAGUUAGAAUGCCUUAAUACACACCUGAGGUCAUAUUACAACAAAAUGACGGAGGUCAUAUAUAAUGACAAGUUGCUCAUCCAUUUCUUCCAAGAAACUUGACUAGUUUCACGUUAAGCAGAAAAUAUAAGAAUAAUAUAUAUGUCAAGUGUAUGGAAAGUAAUUUUAAUAAAUACAAGACUAUUCAGACAUCAUAUUUUUAGGUAAAUAAAGGAUGAAAAACAUCUUCUUUUUAUUGGCUUCAUUCUUGUGAUAUAUUACUUGAUAGGUUAGAACAUGUAAAUUAUAAUUCUAUAUACAAGUCAAUUAAUUUUGAAUUAUUAUUAAGUAUUGUUUUUUUUAAAAUAAAGUUUAUAUUGAAUCAAAAUUCAUAAAAAUUUUGGUAUCAAAUCAAGUCUCCUUCUUGAUCUUCCUCUCCAUCUCUUUGUUGAUGUAGAUUUUUAUUGUCCGACAAAAAUAGAAUGUAAGUUACUCAAUGUUUUAAAAAUUAUUAUUUAAUUACUAAAAUACACAUUAUUACUUAUAAUAACCGGUUAAAAAGGUACCUUAAUGAAUAAAAAGGACAUAAUAUAAUACCUAAUUAAUUAUAUUAUUUCAAUUUUCCAGGGUAUCACACUAGUUUCGAUUAAGAUUUUAGAUGACAACCUUACUCAAAUUAAGAUCUAUAUAUGGCAAUAUAAAUUUCCGGAAGUAUAUUCAAAAUAAUCAUCAAGUAAGAGGCCUUAGUUUCAUAACCAAAAGAACCGGUCUUCUUAUCAACAGCAGAAGCAAUCCUUCUUUUCUUUUCUUUUUUCCUUUUCUAUUUAUAAGCAAAAUAGUACCAGGAACGCCUAUGAAGAGGCAGCAGGAAAUUGUAGCUAAAGAAGAUUAAAAACAAAUCACACUAUAUUACUAUCAAAACUCAUGCCACUGCUUCUAAAGUGCAAGACCUCAUCAGAAGCAGAUACCAAGACCAAUCAACUCGAGAAAAUUCAAUCCUAUGGGAGCAUCUUGGGUUUUCCUUUAUGAUGGCUAUCGGAUGUCCACAGCAUUACAACUGGAGUUUUGCUCCGCAUCAAACAACUCAUCACGUCGGUAUUAUGUAUUCAUCCUCGCCGGGCCAAGGCAAAAGUGUCGUCUUCAUGGGACAGAUUUCUCUUGUAAGGUAUGGAAAAUAUCGGCAUCAAUUCCAUCUCCAUCUCCGAUCUUUCCUUGCAUCAAAUGUUUUGUUUGAUCUUUUGGGCCAGGAGUUUGGGAUCCAAUGAUGUAAGGGUAAAAUAAUGAUUCGUGGUCAUCAGCAAGUCUAUGGGAUUUGGUAUUCAGACUUCAUAUAUUUACAAGUAUCCUCCGACAACUCUUGAUAUCUCGUCGAUGCAGUCAUGGCAACAGGAAGUCUAUGGGUUUUGGCCGUAAAUGGCGCCGAGAGAGCCCUACCAUCAAAUGCAUUAUCGUCUUCAGCUUCAUUAUCGUUUGUCCUUUCCAACACGUACCAAAUGGUUUGCCCUCCGAUUCAGGUUGAUGCAUCUUUCAGUCAGCAUUAAGGCUCGGUAAUUAUAUUUCCAAUGAUAAAGAAACUUUUGGAUCUAUGCCCACUCCAUAAAGAUUUUAUUGUUAUUGGUGAGAUAACUAGAUUAAACUUCUUCAAUCUUUAUAUUUUCUCUUGAAGUGAAAGCUAAGGAUAUCUACAAAUAAAAGAAAUUCCAAACCUAACAAAAAAUUGAAGUGUACAUUAAACUUAUAAUUGAAUUUGGCCUUGUUGCUUAAAUUCUGAUUCUUUAUAUAUGAUUUUAUUGAUAUUUUAUUGCAAAAUGGAUUAUUAAAUCUCAUCAUUUUAUCAUCAUUAAUUCUUUUUAUUAAAAAGAAUAUUUUACGGCCAAUUCAUUUCAUGACAAUGAAUGAAUUUAUUUAACAUAUUAACGAUUUUUACUUUAUUGAAAAUAUAUUUUAAUAAAAAAAUUUAAUAGAUAGUUAUGAUGUUAUAUUAUUAUGAAAUAUAAAUAUAAAUAAAAAAACUCAAAGAAGGUAAGUUUUAUCACUCAACAAAUUUAAAAUGGAUAAAAAUAACAAUUGGAGUGUGAAUAGCUAGUGCUUUCAUUCUUUUUAUGAGAAUUAUGGUGUACUUUGAAUUGGUUUCAAAAUCUAAUGUAGAAACUCCCUUCAUACUAUGAAAUAAUUUGUCUUUGUCAAUUGAAUAUAAAAUUAAAAAAUAGCAAAAGAUAUUACCUUUGGAAACUAAGAGGAUAAUCUUUAGAGAAGUCCCCCUUCCCUCUCAUCAAAUUAUAUUAAAAAAUUAAGGAAUCAAAUUUUAAUAUCUUUUAUAGAAUUUGAUAGGGAAUUAGGGCCCAUCUUCAAGAUAGAGAUUAAAGAGAAAAUCAUUCUUAAAAAAUGAAUAUCUCCACUUUAGAAAUAAGUGUUUUGAUUUAUAUCUCCUCUUGAUAUCUAUUUUUCUCUGUAAAAUAAAAAUUAGUAUUCAUUAGUUACUACUGAAGUAACACAUGAAAUAUUUUAGUGAAUUAGAUCAAUUAAUCUAAAUUUCUAUAUUUAAAUAUUGCACUUGACCCAAUUGCAAUUGUGAUUUGAUUUCAGUAUAAUUGACGAAACCCAAAUGUGCUCAUUAAUUGUUAACAUCGAAAGUUUAAAAAAGUUGAAUGUGUUAAAAUCACUCGAAACCUAUAUAAAUAGAUACAUAUGAUUAAAAUGAAAAAACGAAGAGACACAAAAUAUUUAUAAUUCUUCCAAAUAAGUUUUAUUUAAUUCAACAAUUUGUUUAACAAUACUAAUGAUGUUGUUGAGUAGGAUUAUAGUUGAUAAUAAUAAAUAAUUGAUGAAAUCUUCAUGUUAAAACAAUACUAAUGACGAGAGGGAAGAUUGAAAAACAGAGAGGAAUUGUUUUGAGAUAUAGAGACGAGAAAAGAGAGAAAAUAGAGUAGAAGAGAGAAGAACCUCCACCGUCUGCCUUCUUCAAUAUUGCCGCCAUGAGAACCGCCUUGAGCCACUGUCGACAGCAGCUCUGUAAACCCCCGGUUAUAAUUUUUCUGGGUAUUUAAAAGAUGAGAAAUUUAACCAAUAGUAAAAGGGGUUAAAUUAAAUUAAAGAAACCUAAAUCAAGAUAAAAAUAGUGAAAUUAAUGAAAUGAAAAGUCAAUAUAGUACUAAAUUAUUGAAAAGAAAAACAUUUGUGAGGACAAAAUGAAUAUGUAAAAUCAAGAGAGGUCAAUAUUCAAAUAACAGAAGGUUGGGAGUUUAUGUACAAAUGAUAAAAAGGGGUGGGGAUAAAUGUGCAAUUAACAAGAUGUUAGAACUAUAAAUAUCAUUCUAUUUUCUCUCUUGGAGGAACUGACAAGAGUAAGAGAGAGUUUAGAGAGAGGCUGGACAGAAGACAUAUUGAUGGCAGAACAUCCGACAGCUAUAACUCCACCUUCCACCGUUGGAUCAGAACGAUAUUCAGAUAUAUUAUUCUCAUCCAUGUCAUGUACAUUUUCACUAUAGGGAUUUUCUAUAUGAGUCUCCGGUUGAGAGAUAUCGAGGGGGGAAAUAUCUGGGAAAAUACACUUCUGGACAAUCUUCUUUGCUGUCUGUUUUCUCUUUCGGCCACUGUUGGAUUAGGCUAUAAUUUGGAUAUGUUGUUCUUCCUGAUUCUGUCUAGACUCUGAACGGUGGAGAUCUGAAACAAACAUUCGGUAUAGAAGUUGUGUAUCUCACACAGUAGGUCUGCAAGUUUGAAGUCAGUUCGGUUAAACCCAUAUUUCUAGAAAUCGCACCAUUUGAUGAAGUUAAUAUUUGGAUAUGUUAUACUCAUAAUAAUGCAUUAUAACUUGACAGUAUGGAUUGUUUGGAAUAUUAUUCGUUUGUUAUUUAUGGUUGAUUGAAACUGUUUUCAAGGAUUGUGUUUAGAAGAAUAUUGUUCGGAAAGUUUGUAAAAUCGAUAAGAAUGUUUUAUUUUGACGUUAAGAGGGAAGAUUGAAAUAAAUAAGGUAAAUUGGCUCUUAAAAAGAUAUUUUUUUGACACUCUUAAAUGAUAUGUGAUAUGGCCAGGGGUUGAGAUAAAAGAGAAAAAGUUAAAUUAUGGAUGUUGUGUGUAAAUGAAAAGGUUGAUGAAUCUGGACAGAUUCGUCUCCUGACUUUUAAAGAGAAUUUGAGUAGGAGGAUGAGAGAAUUAGGAUCAAGUUUCUUCAUAGUAAUUGUAGUUUUGGAUGUUAGCUAACUAAGAAAAAUUGGUCUUGCUCAAUAUGGAGCUGUAGAACCCUAGCUAUGGGUCAUCAACUGAGAUUGGGUCCUGAUAGACCCUGUAGGGUAGUGUUUGUUGAUGAGCAAUUUUGACUAUUUCAGAGGCAGAACUGGGUUCUCCUUACUCAGAGAACUUGUAGCCUCGUGUAUUAGCUUUCCAACGAGACUAAUCUCGCUUGAAACAGAGUUCUAUAACUUUAGAUAUAGUUAAAAAUAUGAUGAGUGUUCAGACAAUGACAGUUGGACAAUAACAGUUCAAUAUCUAGACAGUAACAGUUAGAUAGUAACAAUUGGAAAUUUGACAGUAACAGUUCAAAGUUAGACAGUAAUAAUAAACUUUGACGUGAAUACUAUAUAAAAGAAUUGAGUCAUACGAACACUUGCACAUUGAGAUACUAACUCUAAAAAUAUACAUGAUAUAUGUAUGUAUGUUAUUAUGAGGAAAUGAACAUGCAUAAAAAGUAACAUAUGAGUAAUGGAUGAUUAUGGAUUCUCUGUAAUAUUGGACUGAAGGAAUGAUAACUAUGGUUGGAUAAAGGAUGACAACAUUAAUGGGUGUAAUGAGAAAAACAUGAGAUAUAAAGAAAGAAAUGAUUGAAAGAAAGAUUUAUUAGCUAUUGAUAUGAUUAUUAUAAAACAUAUCCUUGAAUGAGGAAAAUUUAUGAGAUGAGUUUGUGACUAUAGGAAGGACCACCUGUGUGGUGCAACAGCAGCAACAUGGGAGCACAAGUAGAGCUUCUACUGCAGGUAGGUGACUUUCACCUUCCUUUUAAAUAAUGUUGAAUAAUGAAAAUACUUUAUCAUGAAUAUUACUGUAUUGUGUUAAUUCAUAUACCAGAUUGUCAAAUGCUUAAAUGUAAACAAUUUAUUAGCUUCGGCUAAUGGCAUUCGAAGGGAUGACCGGGACAAACGAGUGAUUAGCUUUGGCUAAUGGCAUCCGAUAGGAUGGCCGGGACAAACGAAUGAUUAGCUUUGGCUAAACAAAUGAAUGAUUAGCUUUGGCUAAUGGCAUUCGAUGGGAUGACUGGGACAAACGAAUGAUUAGCUUUAGCUAAUUGCAUCCGAAGGGAUGGCCGGGACAAAUGAAUAAUUAGCUUUGGCUAAUUGCAUCUGAAAGGAUGACUGGGACAAACAAUUGAUUAGCUUUGGCUAAUGGCAUCCGAAUGGAUGACGGGGAAAAUUGAAUGAUUAGUUUUGGCUAAUGGCAUCCGAAUGGACGACCGGGACAAAUGGUUGAUUAGCUUUGGCUGAUGGCAUUCGAAGGGGAUGGCCGGGGUGAGUGAACAGUUAACCUCGACAAAUGAUGUCUUAAAAGAAUGGCUGGAUUUAAGAUUAUGGUUGAUUGUAAGAAUUGGUGCAUAUAUAUGUACUGCAAGUUGUGUAUACCAAGAACAUGAAGGAACUACAAAUGUCACGCUUCAAACAUGAGAUAAUGUUAAUGCUUCAUUAAAUUGCCAGACCAUUUUCUUCUUAUUAUUAUUAUUAAGUAAUUGCAUUCUUGUAAAUGUUUUGUACUGCAGUAGGGACGUCAUACCAACAAGGUGCCUAGAAAACGCAAUACACGGGAACCUACUUUUGCAAGGAAUCAUGUAGUUGCAUUCUAAAUCAUGAUGUAUUUUAUAUGAAUCAAUGUACUGAAUGUAUAACUAUUAUUAGAUCAUUUUAGAUUAAAUUCAUGAUGACUAUUUGUAGGAUAGAAUACAAACUCAUAUCUAUACAUGUAUAUUUUAAAUGCGAACUUAUAAUCAUGCAAACAUAAUAUUAUGAGUUUAUGUAAGAUUCACUUUUAACUGAAAAUGUUGAUUGUUGUUGAUGUAUGGAUUGUAUAUUGAUGAUGUGAAGGGAACAUGUUCGUCGAUUACCAACACGAUGUGUGUCAAGUACAAAAAAAAUAAAAAUUUACUGUUGUUUUGGGCUUGAAAAGUCGGGUUGUUACAAGCUCCACCACCAGCAGAAACAGAGGAGAAACCGAAACAAAACAGAGAAAAGGAGAAAGAACAGGAGGGAGGGCAGAAACAAAGGGCAAGGAAAACACAGAAAAAAGAACCACCAACCACCCUCAGCUCCCCAGUCUGCCACCGUUAGCGCCAAUAACAACGCCAUCGACAGUAGCUCCACCAUCGUCAGAGACCGAAGAAGAAAUGUAGAAGCAGGAGAAUAGAAACAAGGAGAAAAGGAAAACAUAGGAAAACAGAGAGAAAAACAAAGAAGAACCACCGUUUGGAAUCAUCCGUCCUCUGCGCCAUUCUUCCUCAACACUGCCACCGCUUGCCACAGUCAACACCAGCACCGCCACCACUGCCAGGUCAACUUCUUCUUCUUCGUCGUCCUCGGCUGCUCCACUAUUUUGCAUGAACAGUAAAGAGUCCUCCAUUUUUCACUAGGCCAGACAAGUUCGGCCCAACUCAAAAUGAGUGGGUCGAGUCCGGCUCAGUCCAAAUUUUUUUUAAAAAAAAAAUCAUUUCGAAAAUUUGUGAUUUUUCUGCAUAUUUUUCUGUCCAUUUUGAUUAGUAUCGGUUUGUAUUUUAAUAUCAUAAGGAUACGAAUCUGGUUUUCAUCGAAACGUUGCAAAAAAUAAAAAAAAUAUCUUGUUUUCAUGCAUAUGACCAAGUCUUAAUACGACAAAAAAUCAUAUCGUAUUUUCAUACGACAAAAAAUCAAAAAUAUGUGUUAGCAUGUAUUUUAGCUUUAAUAACCAGGUUAUUAAAGCCACGAGAACUUGGUCAAUAUUCCAAAAAAUUUCAAAAAAAUCAUUUUGUUUUCUUUUAGUAUCCGGGAUUACAAAUUUAUACAUACAACGUAUUCCCAAUAUUAAAAAGAUAUUUCUUUUUAUUAACGUUAGAACGGUUAGGUUUUACCCGAUAAGAUAAAGAUAUGCUUACCGAGGAUGACUUUUCUUAAACUAUAGACAGACCAACAUAUAGACGUUAGCAUAUAUUAGACAAUAAAACAAUACAACUUACCUUAGGUAGGGCGUAUUUGAGUUGCUAAUACUUUCACUUUACGCAACUAGUCCCCGUGCCCGAUCUCUGAGACCAGUUAGGGUUCCUAGUGACCAAAACACUAGGUGACGACUUUCAUUCCAUCAUUCCACCGAUAAAAGACAAGAAUUCUCUGAGUGGACAAUCAUCGCGACGCCGCAUACGUGCGACAACAUGAAAGUCAUAUUGUAUGGAAUUUGUAUGAUGUGUUUCUUGAGAGAAAGCUUGUAUUAUUCAAAAUAAACUUUUAUUAAGUGUAAAUUAUUUAAAAUAAUAAUAAUUUUAUUCAGAACCUUUAUAAAUCUAUACAUAUAAUUAAAUCUAAUCAUAUAAUUUUUUUAAAAAAUUAUUUGAUUGCUGUCUUGCGCUUCUAUUAUCGUGGAAUUAAGUAAAAUAUGAUUUUAUAAAAUAAAGUUGUUAGACCUCACUGAGUCAUUUGUUUGGCAUGUAUACUGGAGUUGAUUCAAGAUAUCAUCGUCUUAAUAUUUGAAGAACAAUGUUAAAAUGUUGAUGUCUUCAAUUCUUUCUAGUCAAACUAGAUUUUUACUAGGUCGAUUAGAUCAAACUUUAACUUACUUAGUUGAUUGGAUCAUAUAAAAGUAAAAUCUAACCCAAUUUAGCUUAACACCUAAGCUAGGAGAGGGCUAAACUCAAAAUGUCUAUGAUUUUAAUUGAAAUUCAUUAAAACAUUAACAACACCUGUAAAUACAUUUUUCUUUUUGCCAUCAAAUUUAAUUUUUUAUCAUACCUACAAUGUAGCUUGGUUAAGUUAAUUAUGGAUCAUCUUACUACUUUUGUUUUUCAAAUUUUGUCAAGAAAUACUGCUAAAACACAUAUUAGCAACAAUUAUAUAUAUAUAUAUAUAUAUAAAUUAAUCCUACCUCAUGCAAAACACGUGCCACUAGCUAGGUUAAUUUAAAGCACCACUUGCUUUGCGGUAUUGGAGAGAAUGUAGUCAUCAUAGAUUCUGUUUGGAAAACUGAUCUUCGAAGAGAUUAGGAGCUGGAUAUUGUCUUCCUCUUCCUCUUUUUUAAUAUUUAUCUAUAUCAUAUUCCUCGUCUUAUUCUUCACCACUGUAAAGGGAUAUUUGAAAGGAAAAAAAAAUUGUAAAGUUUUAUUGUGUUUUUACUUUCCCGUCAUAUAUAGUUUUAAAAAAUACAUUUAAAAUCCUAGGUCAAAUAAAAAUUUAAAAAUAAUAAUAAGAAAAUAUUAUCAUAUAUAAUAUAACACAAAUAAUAACUAUAACUAUGAUAUCAAUGUUCACUAGGGUUCCAGAUUAUAGCUAUUUGAUUAUAGAAUUAAAAAGUGAGUCAGCCAGAAGGUAGUUAAUUGGCAUUUCACAGACAUAAAAUGGGUGUUUAUAAGUGAGGUGGUAAUUAUUUUUUAAAGUGUUUUUUGACUUGAAAAUGCAUCAAAAUAAUAUUUUUUAUUUUUAAAAGAUUAAUUUUGACAUUAACACAUCAAUAAUUUGAAGUAAAGAAAAAAAUAAUUUUUUUUUUUUAAAAACCUUUUGAAAUAUAAAAACAAAUAGCCAUAAUAACAAGCAAAACAUCAGAUGCAGUUAAUGAUUCUUAUAAGAUUUAAUCAAUUAUUUUUGGAACACGACAGUUAAAACCUUUGAAAUUGAAGCAUGCACCAUAAAAUGAUGAUGAUGGCCUUGCUGAACUGAACCAGAUUGCCUCAGGUUGUGGCUUACGUCGCCUUGCGUUGUGAUAGGAAAGACGUCUACGACAGCUUCGCUUCUUGUCAUCAAACUCUGACAAUUCACGGAACCUAAACAAAUUUUGCAUCCUAAAUGCAGCAGCAGCAGCAGACUUUAGCCGUAGAUAAUAACAUCAGAAAGCUUAGCAAAAGCAACAAAGCUAAAUCAUGGAGAUUAAAAAUGAAUAAUUACUAAGAAUUCCCCAAGAAUCAAGAUUCAUGAGAGUGUUACGUAUCUGGAUGACAGAAUAGUGGGAGAUGUUGCAACAAGAAAAAGACUACUAUGGGGAGGCAAGAAGGAGCGGGAAGUAGAGACGCCAGGAGCACACAACCUGCUGUUUAGUUAUUAAUAUUCUUUUAGUUAGUUGGAGUACAUUCGGUUAGCAGAGUUUGUUAAUCACUUUGAGUUAGUUGGAUUAGUACAAUUUCGAUUUCAUUUCUCUCUUCUCUGCUAAUAUCAUUCUGCUUCUUAGCCUCAUCUUCUUGAUUUGUUAAGUGAUCUUAACAAUUGAUAUCAGAGCCUUAAGAUCUAACACUAUGAUGAAAAAUCAUAAGCUGAAAAACAUUGAAGAACACUGCAAGAAAUUGGAGGAGCGAAUGCAAAUCCUUCAACAAGAACUCUAAGAAUCCCUGGUCGAUCAACAAAACAAAUGGCAGGAACAACUCGGUGAACAAUUAAAGUUGGAAGACUAAUUAGAUUAGUGCUCAAAUUGAAACACUGUCGAAUCAAUUUCAAACAUUCCUUGCUCAUCAGAUGACAGGGAAGGAUGUGGGAAGCACUUCUAGAGGAAUCUUACAGGCACUAGCAAGCGGCAGUCUUGAAGGAAUGUUAUCAAGGGGAAAAGGUCCUGCUAGGGGAGAUCAAACUUAUGGCCAGGAGCAGUAGAGAGUGGUGCAUAAUGCUGCUCUUCCAAGGAUGGAUCUGACAACAUUUCGAGGAGAUAAUCCUAGGGGUUGGUUAAGGAGGUGCAAGAAGUUUUUUAGCCUCAACUCAACUCCAUUUCAGUAGUGGGUAGAACUAGCAUCUAUUUACUUGGAAGGAAAGGCAUAAAUCUGGUUUGAAGGCUAUAUGCGUGGGGUAAUUCACUGGUUACUAUGCGCACAACACAGUAACAAGCUAUCUAUGGGCCGAUUCUGGCCUAGUUUCUUUUGGGCUAGGCCAGGCCCAGUUUUUUUGGGAUUUGUACUAUUUCCUCGCGUAUUUUUAUGCCUUUUUUAUUAAUUAGUAUUGGAAUAUAUUUUUAUGUCAUUAAAAAUACAAAAUCUGGUAUUAAAAUACCCGGUUUUCGUCAAAACUUCCAAAAAUACAAAAAAAAUUGAAAAUAGAAAAAAUGUUUUUGUGCAUACGGCCAAGAGUCUCAAAGCUAAAAAAAAUCAUAUUGUGUUUUUCAUACACCAAAAAACAAUGUUUUAGCAUGCAUUUUGGCUUUAAUAACCAGUUUAUUAAAGUCCAGAGAACAUUGACCAAAAUUUAAAAAACAACAAAAAUUUUAUUUUGUUUUGUUUUAAUAUCAGGGAUUAUGAAUUUAUACGUAAAACGUAUUCCCGAUAUUAAAAAGGUAUUUUCUUUUGACAACAUAGAACAGUUAGGUUUGUACCCGAUAAGAUAAGAACCUUCUUAUUGAAGAGGGCUUUUCUUGACCCUUUAGACGGACCAACAAUUAGAAAACACAACAAGACCAUAAUUUUUAUCAAACAUUAAAACAAUGCAGCUUACCUUAGGUAGGGCGUAGUGGGGGUGCUAAUACCUUCCCUUUACGCAACCAGUCUCCGUACUCGAUCUCUGAGACUAGUUAGGGUUCCUAGUGACCAAAAUACUAGGUGGCGACUCCCAGUCCAUAUUUUACUGAUAAGAGACAAGAAUUCCUUGUCUCUCCAUAUUUGCCAGACAGACCUUUACCAUUUUCGUUGUGAAUGGUGGACGAUCGUCGCGACGCCGCACACGUGCGACAAUAUGGUUGGUGGGGCAGUUUUUUCUGGUAGAGGUAACAACAAUACCACAUCAGGUACUUGCUAAUGCAGAAAUAACAAGGUUAUUGGCAGACUAUGCAGUUGCUUUUCAAGAACCAACAUCAUUGCCACCUACCAGGAAACAUGAUCAUAGAAUUCCACUAACAACAGGAGCUCAACCCGUUAAUUGCAAACCAUAUAAGAGCUCUUUCUUUCAAAAGGGGGAGAUCGAAAUGAUGGUCAAGGAGAUGCUACACAACAACAUAAUACAACCCAAUGUUAAUCCCUUUGCCUCUUCUAUUCUUUUGGUGAAGAAGAAGGACAACACAUGGCGUUUUUGUGUAGACUUUCGACUGCUGAAUGAAAAAAUUUCUUAGUAUUCUUUGACGAUAUUCUCAUUUAUAGUUCCUCUCUAAAAGAACACAUCAGUCAUUUGAAGCAAGUCUUGGACACUCUUAAAACUAACCAACUGUAUGCGAAGAGAUUCAAGUGCACAUUUGCAGAGCCGCAAGUAGAGUAUUUGGGGCAUAUAAUUUCAGCUGAAGGGGUAGCCACUAAUCCUAAGAAGAAACAGGCAGUACAGGAGUGGCCAAUUCCAAAAUCCAUUAAGAAGCUAAGGGGAUUCCUUGGCCUAGCUGGUUAUUAUUGAAAAUUCAUUAGGAAAUUUGGUAUUAUUAGCAAGCCUUUGACAAAUAUGCUCAAGAAGAAUAACUUCAUUUGGCAUGAAGGAGCACUAGAGGCUUUUCGCAACCUGAAACAAGCAUUGUGUAAGGCUUCAAUCAUGGCCUUGCCGGACUUUACCAAACCGUUUGUGCUGGAACCAGACGCUUGUGAUACUGGAAUUGGAGCAGUACUUAGCCAGGAAGGAAGACCAUUAGCAUUUUUUAGCAAGGCCUUGGGAGUCAAACACUUGAGGCUAUCCAUUUACGAGAAGGAAUACCUUGCUAUUCUAAUGGCAGUCGACAAGUGGAGGCAUUACUUGGAACAAGAUCAGUUUGUCAUUCAAACUUAUCAUGAAAGUCUGACGUAUCUACUUGAUCAGAAAAUUCACACUCCUAUUCAAAAGAAGGGGCUAACUAAGCUAUGGGGGUUGAAUUAUCGGAUCAGGUACAGAAAAGGAAAGAAGAAUAAGGCUACAGAUGCCUUAUCUAGGAGGAAUAUACAGGGGGAAGAAGGUUGUCAAGGAAAUAAAAUGGAAGGGGGAAGGUUCACCGCCAUAACACAAAUAACUCCCUCCUGGUAUGACAAGAUUUAUGCCUCUUAUAAAGACGAUGCCAAGUUGCAGGAUAUAAUGAGGAGUAAACUGGUAGAUGCUGCACAAUCUCUCAACUUCAUAUGUUGAAGGAGUGAUUAAGUAUAAGGGGAGAGUUGUUAUAGGAUCUGCAGGGUUAUUAAAGGAAGAACUCAUCAAGUCUACCUAUGAUUCCUACAUUGGAGGACAUGCUAGGAUCCAAAAUACAUACAGACGACUUAAGGCUCACUUCUACUGGCCUUGUAUGACGAAAUUAGUGCAAGAAAUAGUUCAACACUGUGACAUUUGUAAACAAGCUAAGGCCGAAAGGGUCCCUUAUCCUGGAUUGUUACAGGCUCUUCCAGUUCCAAGUGGUUCUUGGCAGGAUAUAACCAUGGAUUUCAUAGAAGGAUUUCCAAGGUCAGAAGGCAAGGAUACCAUUAUGGUCAUUGUUGAUCGAUUUACGAAGUAUGGGCAUUUUAUCACAUUAGCCCAUCCCUUCACAGCUCAAGAGGUGGCUAAAUUUUUUCUGGAUCACAUUUAUAAGUUACAUGGCUUGCCUGCCACAGUAUUAACUGAUAGAGAUAAAAUUUUCACAAGCUUGUUCUGGAGAGAAUUGUUUAGACAUUUGGGCAUAAAGUUGUUACUAAACACCUCCUAUCAUCCUCUAACGGAUGGUCUGACCGAGAGGGUGAAUCAAUUCCUAGAGACUUACCUAAGGUGCAUCACUAUACAUUGUCCCAAAAGUGGAACACUUGGAUAUCGACAGCACAAUGGUGGUACAACAGUAGCUUCCACUCGGCUAUCAACAUGUCCCCAUUGCAAGCAUUAUAUGGAUAUGAACCCCCGGUAAGGGAGAUGGUACUCAUUGAGGCUACUCAAGUAGCUAUUGUGGAAGAAUGGAUGCAGAGAAGGCUUAAUAUGGAUCAGUUGAUCAAGGGGCUGUUGGAGGGGGUGAGGAAUAGAAUGAAACAGGUGGCAGAUAGGAGGUGUUCGGAAAGGACAUUCAUGGUGGGAGAUUGGGUCUUCCUAAAAAUUCAGCCUUACAGGCAGGGCAGUGUCAUGUACAGGAAGAAUUUCAAGCUAAAUCCCAGGUAUUAUGGCCCUUACCAAGUUAUUGAACGGAUUGGAGCUGUAGCUUACAAGCUCAAGUUACCAGAGGGGCGUGCAGUGCAUCCUGUGUUCCAUGUAUCGCUAUUAAGAAAGAAGGUGGGAGAGGUGGCCAUAGUUUCCCAAGCCCUGCGGAUCGUAGAUGAAGAAGGCAGAGUUAAGGUUUAUCCAGUCACCAUACUAGAAAGGAAGCUUAUGAAGAAAGAUAAUAGAGCCGUGGUGGCAGGCUUAAUUCAAUGGUCUAACUCAUUUCCUGAAGAUGCAACAUGGGAAGAAUUGACAGAAAUACAAUUGCAAUUUCCAGAAUUCAGUAUUGACCCUUAAUUGUCAAGAUUGUAGAUUCUUGAGCCAAGAAUCUUUUCGAGGAAGAGUUAUUGUUACGUAUCUGGAUGACAGAAUAGUGGGAGAAGUUGCAACAAGAAGAAAACUACUAUGGGGAGGCAAGAAGGAGCGGGAAGUAGAGACGCCAGGAGCACACAACCUACUGUUUAUUUAUUAAUAUUCCGUUUGUUAGUUGGAGUACAUUUAGUUAGAGUUAGUUGGAUUAAUCUGUUAGUAGUCAAUGUGGAUUACUAUGAAAGCACAUUGUAUGGAUUAUAUUGGAUAUGAAUAGAUUGCAGUCCAAUUUUGAUCUCAUUUCUCUCUUCUCUGCUAAUAUCAUUCUGCUUCUUAGCCUCAUCUUCUUGAUUUGUUAAGUGAUCUUAACAGAGAGAACCUGCCUGCUGCACUUUUUUUUGGAUUCCUGAAAAGGAUUUGUGUUCAAGAAUUCAUUAUGAAUGAUAAUUUUGUUAUUUUGAGAUUCCAAAGAGUUUUUAGUCAUUAAAAUAAUAAACUUGUAAAUAAGGAGAUAUAUUUUGUUGGCUUUUUUUUUUAAAAGGAUAUUAAAGGUAAAUGCACAUAUAAAAUUUAUGAUAUAAAAUAUAAUUUUUCAAACCAUAAUAAAAAAUAUAUAUAAUUGCGACCAAACCUAAGAAAAUCUUUUGUGAUUAUUGGUAAGAAUAAAUAAGAGCAUGGAUUAAUGGUAAAAAGAGAAUCACGUAUUAAACACAAAAGAUAAAUUAUUUUGAAUUCAACAAUUUAACAUGACAUGGAAGGAACAUGCAAUAGAGAGAGGAUCUAAUUUAACAUGUCGUACACAAUAAUAACUUAAUAUAUAGCUUCUUCUUUUUUUCUUUUUAAUUUUGGUACAAUAAAAAGCUCUUCAAAUAUGUAGAAUAAAAGCCCAAUCUACUUAGAUAUAACAUAUUUAGAGUAUGAGAUGAGAUCAGCUUAUACUGCAAAUAGUUUAUUACUGAGUUAUUGCGUAAUAAAUUAAUUGGAAUAGAGAGCAUGUAUCCCAUCAAUAUCAUCCUGAGCGAGAUCUCUUUUCUUCUUUCCAGGUGCUAUCGUUGGAUACAUGAUGGCUUCGGGAUGAUCUUUACUAUGAUAAAGGCCAAGCAGAUGUCCUAUUUCAUGAACAGUAACGGAUUCCAGGUCAGUUUGAUCCAUUGCGGGGUCAGUGCUCCAGUUCUCGUCUGCAUCGUAAUGGAGACGGCCGUCUUGUGGAAAAAAACCAUGAGCCAGUUGUUUCCCUGGUCCAUCAAAAGGAUCCUGAUCCCCAUGAUCGCCGCUGAAGAACUCAAUUACAAUAUCUGCUGAUGCACCGUCAGUCGCCUCCUGGAAAGUGAAUGGAGAAACCUUUGCCCAUGUUUGGAAAGCGUUUGAGCAGACCGACCUCAAGGUGUCCGAACCAACAACUUGGACACCCGAGCCAAAUCUGUAGGUCAGAGCAUACUUGGAAGGUGGCCACUUUCGUGUCCCGAAAUCAUAAUGAACAACCAUGUGGAACUUGUUGUGUUUUGAUGUAGUGCUGUUCGGUUUAGUGGACGGAGUGUUUAUGAUAUCAGGCAUUCCACAUCGUGGAAUCAUCAUUUGUUGUAUGGUACUAGAGUCAAGGUUACCAGUAACAUUCAGGUGAAAAUAUUCUUGGUAUGUUUUGAGUGCUAGCUCCAAGUGGUCAUCAAAAUCACUGCUUGUGAGAGUGAUAUCA
rnacentral:lncRNA from 1 species